UACUGGUCUGAUUCUGAUGUGGUACUGGUUUAUAAACCUGAUUUUGUUGGUUGUUUUGGUGAUUCCUCUGAUUGUUUUGAGGAUAGCCUAUAAAGUUCUUUUUCUUUUGUGUCUGCCAUUGGUCUUCUUGCAUUUUUUGUUGAUCCUGGUGAGUUCUUGAUGGUUGCUCUUUGGUACCUGAAACACUAGCAGAAAUAUUAUUUUUAACAGGUUGAGAAUUAAUUGGUAGAGUAGUUACCUCAGUGUCAUUUCAUUCUGCUGUUUUGGUUUUGUUCUUGUUUGCUGCUUCAGCCUCCUUUCUUCUUCUAUAUUCAUCAUCUCUCCUCUUGACACAUGUAUGGACUUUACGGCCUUGGUGUUUGCAGUAAUCACUAUCCUGACUUGUUGGAGCCUGUGGAAAACUAGAUGUGCAUGCAAAUAUGGUGGAAACAAAUCUAAUAUGCCUAGAGUGAUAUACUUGGUGCAUCAGAUGGCCAUCCAAGUGGCCUGAGUUGAUACAGUUUGCAGGAAAUUACUUCCAUGAAAUCAAAAUUACAAAGGUAAGUUGAUUUAAGCCAGGAAAGAUAAGAGCUGGUGGUAUUGUUAGACUUGCCCAAGGUGAUUUAAACUAUGCUUAUGCUACUCCACUAGGCCAUGGUACCAGCAACCACGCAUGGAUUGAAGCUGCUCAAUGGGGUAUAUCUUGGUGUCUAAAUUGGCUUUAACCAGGUGAUUUUGGAAGUAGACUCCGAGUUAGUCGUUCACUGGAUAAAACAACAAGCUGCUCUACCUUGGAAUUUGCAGCAUGUGAUCAAUUCCAAUCAUUUUCCUGUAAUCACACCUUUAGAGAGGCUAACUUUAAUAGCAUGUUUUAUUUAAAACUAUACAUAACAGUGAAGUCCCUCAACAUUACUUCCAUGUCCACCAGCUACCAAAAGAAGCUAGAGGAUAGUAACAUGCUGGACAACAGUGAGAUGCCAAAUUUUAGAAGAAGAUCAGAGAACCACCUUGAUCCGACAGCUUUGCAUAUGGUUCAUGUGAAGAUGCCCUUUUGUUUUUUUCUUGGUUUUUCUUCAUACUUUGUAAGGGGAGAGUCUCCCUCAUUUAUCGCUUUCCUAGAUUACUUGUAUUGAGAGGAGUCCUCUCUUCUAGGUGCAUAGUUGAUCUAGGUUUCUUUUCUAGUAUCGGGGAUGAGUUAGCCGUCCUUAGUAGGAUAGUCGACUUAUGUUUCACCAUAGGAUCGGAGGUAAGGUUUAUGUCCCCUCCUUGUAUUUCCCUUGUUUUUGUUUUAUUAAUGAUAAGGCCUGGGGUGUUGCUCAAUCCAUGACCCACCUCAAGGGUCACGAAAAAAAAACUUCAAGUCAUAAACCCUAAACCUUCGGGCCUAACCCUAAACUCUAAUCUCUAAACCUUAAACCUUAGGGCCUAAACCGUAAACCCUAAACCUUUGGGCCUAACCCUAAGCUCUAAUUCCUAAACCCUAAACCUGAUGACCUAAACGUUUAACCUUUUAGGGCCUAAACCCUAAACCUUAAACCUUAGGGUAGGAUCCUAAACCUUAAACCUUAGGGUAGGAUCCUAAACCCUAAACCUUGGGGCGUAAACCCUAAAACAUAAACCAUAAAUCCAAAACCCUAAGUCUCAGAGCCUAAACCCUAAGCCUUAUGCCCUAAACCUAAACCUUAGGACCUAAAACUUAAACCUUGUGGCCUAAAUCCUAAACCAUAAACCAUAAACUCUAAAUCUUAUGGCCUAAACUCUUAAACCUAAAUUCUAAACCAUAAACCAUAAAUCUUAGGAUCUAAACCCUAAAUCAUAAACCUUAGGGCCUAAACCAGAAAUCCUAAAACCUAAACUUAGGGCCUAAUAUCUAAACGCUAAAUCCUAAACCUUAGGGCCUAAACCCUAAACCAUGUACCCAACCCUAAACCCUAGACUCUAAACCUUAUACAUUAGGGCCUAAAAUUUAAAUCCUAAACUCUAAGUCUUAGGGCCUAAACCCAAAACCAUAAAUCAUAAACCCAAAACCCUAAGCCUUUGGGCCUAAAUGCUAAACCCUAAACCUUAGGACAUAAAAAAUUAUGAACUCUAAAACUUAGGGCCUAAACUGUAAAUCCUAACCCCUUAACCAUAAACCCCAAACCUUUAACAUUAAACCCUAAACCCUAAACCUUAAUGCCAAAACCCCAUCGCAUCCUCAUUUCCCUAAUUAUUUCUCUCUCUAAAAAUUCUCUCUAGAGACAACCGACUUUUACCGGAAUGGCAACAGAGCCGUCGGUGGAGCAGCUCUGGCUGCCGGACCAAAGCCAUUUGAUGCAGAAUUCGAAUACGAACAAAACCCAACCAGGCGCAUCCUCAGAUUCAUCCGACAACUCUUCAAAAUUGCAAAGAACUGAAGCGAUCCAUGUCGCGAUUUCAAAGCGAGAGUUGGACUGGGCACGUAAAAUUAUUUCCCUAGAAAAAUCUGGAAUGAUUCGAGUUAAUUCAGUAGGGAAUCAUGAUUCUCCAUCCCACGAUCUAUCUUCAGUCCAAAAAUCAAGCGAUUGCACCCUUCAAAUUGAUAGAUCCAACAAGGCGAUUUUGGGAGGAAUCGCCUGGCACGCGCGUGCAGAUUCGACCACCUUCUGAGGAGAUGAAUGAGUUUUCAACCACUGGGGAGUCUUCCCCAAGGAGUACAUCUUACUGAAAUUUCUAAUCAUUUUCAUGGUGGAAUCACCGGCAGGUCAAAGUCCGGUGAAGUCGCCGGAGCUCCGGUCAACAAUAGGGACAAAGGGCUGUGCCAAACGAUUCCUCUUGAUGAAGCCAACCCUCUAAGGUAUCAGAAUUCACUAAGAAACAUCAAAAUGAUGUGUAUUUCGAUUAACCUGCAGGACAAAGAGGCAACAAAUGCAGAUGAUCAUUAGGAUAAGCUCAGGCCACAAUCAAGCAUGAACAAUUCUGUACAAGAUAUUAGUGAACUGAAAGAAGCUAACAACAAGUCAAAAAUGGCAUAUGGUGUACAAUCCAAGGAGCACAACAUUAAUAAUCCAAGAGGUUGGCAAGAAACAGGGGAGGAGCUGACUGGUAUUCUGAAUCAAGCGAACAAGCAGGUGAAGGAACAGAUGCAAGGCCAAGAGGAAAAUAAUGGAAUUACACAGCAGCACCAGGAGAUCAGGAGCACACAACAAAGAGAACAACAUGUAGCCAAGGAAGUGAUCAAGACAAGUUCAAUCCAGCAGGAAGAAUUAAUGCAGACAGGUCAGGAUACCAACUCUAAAAAGCUCUUAGAAAUCAAUAAUACAGUGCAGGUGAAGGAAAAGCAGCAUAAUUUAGGACAAAUGCAGGCUGGUAAGACCUCUAAUACUCACAUUGUGGCUACUGAUAAUAAUUGUGUCUCACCUCAGUUGCAUUUCAAUGCAACUGAGCAUAACAGCCCAGGCUUCAGUUAAACAGGUUCAGGAUCAGCCAAAGGAGACUAACAAAAACAGGGGAAUGGUGAUCCAUCAAGACAACAACAUAGCAAUGGGAAUUAUGGUAAAAAUUUCUCAUUUCAUCAGAGUGAUUUCCCCCAAAUCUCUAAUAAUUAUGGCAAGUACAAUCCCAACAAUCAGCAAGGAAAAAAAGAGAACUCUGAACCCCCCCCCCUCCCCUCAAGGAGCAUAACAAUCAAAUGGCUCAACAACCUCCCAAAAAGGAUGUGAUUCAGGAACCAGCCCCUUACACUGUGGUACAAACCUAUGCUGCUAGACUGAGGCUCAAUCAAGCAAAAACUAAUCUGCCUAUAGUCUUUGAUACUCCUAAGAUCACUACUAAACAAGGUCUGCCAGCUACUAUAUUUAAGGAGGACUUCAUGAUUAAUUGGGCUGAUAGAUCACUACUGUAUACUCUUAUUGGGAAAUUCAGCAAUACCAUGCCUAAAGUGGAGCUCAUUAGAAAGAGUUUCAUAACUCAAACACAAUUAUCUGGGGGGGUUAAGAUAGCUCAUUACAAUGCUAGACAUGUUUACAUUGAUCUUGACAAUGAUUUGGAUUAUAUUACUGUCUGGACAAAACAAAGAAUGACCAUAGAGGGACAGCCUAUGAGAAUCCAAACUUGGACUCCUACAUUCAAACCUGAGGAAGAAAUUCCCAUUGUGCCCAUUUGGAUAGCUUUACCUGCACUGCCAUGGCAUUGUUAUAACAAAGAGAUUGUGUCUGCCCUCCUAUCUCCUAUAGGAAAGGUUCUCUAUCUAGAUUCAGCUUCUGUUCAGAAAACUAGGGGUAGUUUGGCUAAAGUAAGGAUACAAAUGGACCUCACCAAAGAAAGACCACCACAUGUUUGGAUGGGUUUCAAUGAAGAGGAUUUGACUAAGGGAAGGUGGCAAGCUAUUGAGUAUGAGAGUGUCCCUGAAUAUUGUGGCUACUGUAAGCACCAAGGGCACAUGAUACAAAUUUGUACAACCAAACAAAGAGAUGAGGAUUAUCAAAAAAGAAAAGAAAUGGAGGCAGAGAAGAAGAAUAAACCAAGGAGUGAUCAGGAAAAAAAGGAAAAUUUCACCAGUCAACCUAAUGGGGAGUUCAACCAGACAGCUACUACAUCCAAUGAGAUAAUACAGACUCACCAAGAGAAGGAAGCAAAAGAUCAUGAACAACAAUGGCAGACUCAGAAAAGGAAGCAAAAUAAAAAUCAAGAACACCCUAUCCCCAAGACUGUAUGGAGACCUGUAUCACCUCAGCACAAGGGAACCAAGGACAACAUGCAACAAGCUCCACCACAAUCAGGUAUACUAUCUACAAUUCCUACUCACAAUAAUUACACUGAUUUUCUUGCUGGAACAGUCAGACAAAGGUAAAGCUGAAGUGGACAACAAUAACAAAGCAGCAGACCAAGGAGUUCAAGCAGUUCAAGGGUCAGAAAAUGACUCAUCUCUAUUAAACAUCCACAAUAAAAUAUAUAUGCAAAAAGAACAGGUCACAGCCACCAAAAGCAACAAGAUCACAGGUAUUGACUCAGUACUCCCACUACCCCAUCACCCCAAUGUUAUUUAUGUUGAUGUUGAGAUUGCUGAUGAAGUUUCUGGAGGGAUGGAUGGAGGGUGUAAGGAGAAACCAACAAUUUGAGUGAUAUGGAGGGCAAUAUUACUCCAAGUCAAAAACAGCAGCAAAAGGGUUAUUUGAGUGCUACAAAAGGGCAACAACAGCAGAAUACUGAGAACAGGCUGGAAGAAAAUACCAACAACAAAUCAAAGGGUAAACUAAGCAAGAAGAGAAGGGAUGCUAUCAAGAAAAAACAGCAAAAGGAGAAUGAGCAACAAGGUUAUUAAUGAACAAGAUAAAAGUCAGGCAAAAGAUCAUAAUCAGCAGAAAAAUAAUGGCAGGUCUGGUCAAAAUUCUGAAUAUGAAGCUACCUUCUGAGGAUGAAUUUGAUGAGGAUACACAAUCCAUUGAUGCAAAUGAGGCUGAUGAGGAGGAAGAGGAAACCAGUGCAUACUUGAUCAAAGCUUUUGGAUCUACUUUUCACAGUGAAUUCCAUGAAGAGAUUCAGGAAGUUGCUGACCAACAAGGUCUUUCCCCUAGAGGAAGGAAGCAAACUAGACAGAAUACCAAACAAGCUACCAUGAGUACAUCUGCUACUUCUAGCAGACCCAACACAAGGUCCAGAAGUAAAGGUUUUUAAUGAUCAGUACACUGUGUUGGAAUGCUAGAAGCAUCAAUUCCUUGGUUCAUUGGAAAGACUCCAAAAUCUCAAGAAAAUGCAUAAUAUUUCUAAGAUGGCUAUUCUUGAACCAUUCUCAGAUAUUCCCAACUCAACAAUUACAAGAUCCAGUUAAAUAUGGAUAAUGCUUGUUGUAAUCAAAAUGGAAAAAUUUGGCUUUUCUGAAAUAAUGAUAUGAAUUGUCAGAUUUUGGAAGUGGAUGAUCAACAUAUUACAUGUAUCUUAAAUCAUUUGGAGUACAAGGAGAAGUUUAUGAUCUCCUUUGUCUAUGCUAAAUGUAAUGAGAAACUGAGAAGACCUCUAUGGGACAGGUUACUUCAUUUUUCCAGUUUAGAUACUCCAUGGAGUACCAUUGGAGAUUUUAAUGUGAUUACCUCUCCGGAAGAAACAUAUGGAGGCCUUCCCUACAACAUGAACAAGAGUUUUGAAUUCAUAAGUGUGAUAGAAGCCUGUGGUUUAAUGGAUUUGGGGUACAAUGGUCAACAUUACACUUGGUGCAACCAAAUAACUGAGGCAGCUAGGAUAUGGAAAAGGCUAGACAGAGCCAUGGUGACAGAAAAAUGGCUAGAGGUGAUGCCUCAAACUACUAUAUCUCACCUUCCUUCUGUUGGUUCAGAUCAUACACCUUUACUCAUGGAAAUUGUGAGCAGAACUGACAACAAAAUAAAAUACUUUAACUGAUUUUCUGAACACAGUGAAGGCAUGUUGGGAGAGAGAAAUUCAAGGGAACCCUAUGUGGAAACUCCAUCAGAAAAUGAAAAGAUUGGCUUCCACUUUGAGCAAUUGGUCUAGAAGUGAAUAUUGGGAUAUCUUCAAGAAUGUGAUGGAAUAUGAAGAAAAAGUCAAAGUUGCAGAAGAGGAGGUCAUUCAGAAUAAUUCAGAAGAGAACAGAGCUAAGUUGCACCAGACCAAUGCCAACUACAUCAAAUUCCUAAAACCAGGCUUCUAUUAUGAAACAGAAGACUCAGCUUCAGUGGUUCAAGGAAGGAGAUGUCAAUUCUAAAUAUUUUCACACUAUCAUGAGGGGAAGAAGAAGAAGGUGAUUCAUUCACAAGAUUUGCAAUGACAAUGAUGAAUGGGUUCAGGGGGAUGAAUAUAUUGCCAAAGCUGCCUGUGAUUAUAUCCAGCAUUUUUUCACUGGUCAUAACAACAGAAUUAAUACUGAGAUUCUCAAUUGCUUAGACAGGAGGGUCUCACCAGAACAAAACCAAAUGCUCCAGGAGAUGCUACCCUGGAUGAAGUUAAGCAAGUAGUUUUCUCUAUGAAUCCUAAUUCUGCCCCUGGCCCUGAUGGAUUUGGAGGAAAGUUUUUUCAGGCAUGCUGGGAUAUUAUCAAGGAGGAUCUGCUUUCUGCUAUCCAUGUUUUUUUCUGUGGUGCCAUCAUUCCUAAAUUUAUGUCUCAUGCUUGCCUUGUUCUUUUGCCCAAGGUUGACCAUCCUAAUAAGUUCAGUGAAUUCAGACCCAUAAGUUUGAGCAACUUUACCAACAAGAUCAUCUCCAAACUUCUUUGCCUCAGAAUUGCUCCUAUACUCCCUAAUCUUGUCUCUGAGAACCAGUCUGGCUUUGUAAGGGGUAGGAGUAUUUCUGAGAAUAUCAUGUUAGCACAGGAGAUCACUCAUGGCAUUAAAAAACCCAAUGAAGGAGACAAUGUGAUAAUCAAGCUAGAUAUGGCUAAGGCAUAUGACAGAGUGUCUUGGUCCUAUACUAGCUUGGUUCUUAGGGCUAUGGGAUUUGGUGAGAUUUUUAUUGACAUGGUGUGGAGAAUCAUGAGUAAUAACUGGUACUCUAUGGUGGUGAAUGGGACCAGACAUGGCUUCUUCCAUCAAACAAGGGGACCCACUAUCACCAGCAUUAUUCAUUUUGGGUGCAGAGGUUCUUACUAGAAUGCUAAAUCAGCUUCAUCAGAUUCAGGGCUACAAGGAUUUUCAGAUGGAACCUAGAGGACCUCAAAUCAAUCACUUAUGCUUUGCAGAUGAUGUGAUUUUGUUUACUGCAGGUACAAGGAACUCACUGAGACUAAUUAUGAAGACUCUUAAUACUUAUGAAAGGGUAUCUGAUCAACUGAUCAUCAAUAAGGAUAAGAGUCACUUCAUGGUUCCUAGUAACAGUCCCAAUGACAUUAUUUGCAUGAUUAAAGAGAUCACUGGCUUCACUCAGAAGAAUAGCCCAAUUACUUACUUAGGAUGUCCUUUGUACAUUGGGGGGAAAAGAAUCAUCUACUACUCAGAUCUUGUGGCUAAAGUGGUUAAAAAGAUCAGUGGUUGGCAAUCCAAGAUUCUUAGUUAUGGAGGAAAAGUCACCUUAGUGAAACAUGUACUUCAGUCAAUCCCUAUUCACACCAUGGCUGCUAUUUCACCUCCUAAGAUCACCAUUAACUACAUUAAAAGAAUUACUGCUGAUUUCUUUUGGGGGUGGGAAAAGGAGAGAAAGAAAUACCAUUGGGCAUCAUGGGAAACUCUAAGCCUACCUUGUGAUGAAGGUGGUAUUGGGGUUAGACAAUUAGAGGAUGUUUGCACUUCACUACAAUAUAAGCAAUGGUGGAUAUUCAGAACCAAAAACUCAUUAUGGGGGCAGUUUUUGAAGGCCGAGUACUGUAAAAAAGCUAAUCCAGUAGCCAAAAAGCUUGACACUGGACAGUCAUUGGUUUGGAAUUAUUUGAUGAGGAACAAGAAGACUGUAGAGGAACAGAUCACAUGGAAAAUUCACUCUGGGAAUUGCUCCUUCUGGUGGGAUGACUGGACAGGGGAGGGUCCUUUGGCCCAGCAGUGCAGUGAAAUCAACAGUUUAAACAACCCUCCUGUUUCAUUUUUCUUGAUGGAUGGUCAUUGGAAUGAAACUAUGUUAAGGUAAAAUAUUCCUCCCAACAUGGUGCCUAAAGUCAUGGAAACUCAUAUCCAUUAUCAAGCUGGAGUGACAGAUGAAGCUGUUUGGAAGCCAACUGAGAAUGGGAAUUUUACUUGUUCAUCCGCUUGGGGUCUGAUCAGGAAGAAAGGAACCAAAACCAAACUCACUUCUCUUAUCUGGAAGAAGAACAUUCCCUUCAAAGUGUCAUCUUAGUGUUUAAGCCCUAAACAGAAUAGAGCAAUGGACAUGACCCGAAACCACUUUGUGUAGAGUAGACUACUUUAGAUUACUAAAUUGGCAGUAACAUUCGGUGGAAACCAAUAUCAUGUAUAUUCCAAAGGAAUUAAUAUGGUUGUCUCGUUUAAACCAAGUGUAAGUUCCACAUCAAGCUGCAAAUCAACUAGUCCCAUGCCCUCCGUACAAUCUGAAAAUUCCCCCAUAGCUGAAGUUCUCCUAAUCCAGUCCUACAUAUAUUAAAUUCACCACAGAUAGGCCAUGGCCCCUCCAUCAGACUUCUGACGUCAGCUAAUUCCUCUCAUACCAGUCUCCAUUCUAAUUUUCUGUUAGAAGCAUACACACAAGUGAUAUGGCAUUCAAAAUCAUUUAAUUGGGCCUAAAAUCUAAACCCUAUACCUUAGAAACUAAACCUGAAACCUUAACCUUAGGGCCUAAAUCUCAAAUCCUAAACCUUACAACAUCAACCCUAAACCUACAUGCCUAACCCUAAACCCUAAUUUAUAAACCCUAAACCUUAGGGCCUAAACCCUAAACCCUACUCAGACUUCGCCACAUCCAACACCAAUCAAACACUCACAAGCAAUCGAUGAUUUACCUUUAAGAAAGUUGUCAAUCUAUCCAUCAUCGGGCACAUCAAUCCAUAUCUCAAAUAUUUAAACAAAAACAAAGAAGCCACAAACUACAAAUCAAAAACUAAGAUAGACCACCCUAAACCUUAGGGCCUAAACCCUAAACUCUAAAAUUUAGGUCCUAAACCCUAAACCUAGUGCCUAAACCCUAAACUAUAAGCCUAAUGGCCUAAACCCUAAACCUUAGGACCUAGACCCUAAAGCCUAAAAUAUAAACUCUAAACCUUAGACUCUAACCACUAAACCAUAGACCAUAAGCCUUAAACCCUAAACCGUAAAGCAUAAAAUCUAAACCUUAGGUCCUAAAUCUCAAAUCCUAAACCUUACAACAUCAACCCUAAACCCUAAACCUUACAACAUCAACCCUAAACCCUAAACCCUAAUUUCUAAACCCUAAACGUUAGGGCCUAAACCCUAAACGCUACUCAAACUUCGCCACAUCCAACACCAAUCAAACACUCACAAGCAAUCGACGAUUUCCCUUAAGAAAGUCGUCAAUCUAUCCAUCAUAGGGCAUCAUCAAUCCAUAUCUCAAAUAUUUAAACAAAAACAAAGAAGCCACAAACUUCAAAUCAAAAACUAAGAUAGACCACCCUAAACCUUAGGGCCUAAACCCUAAACUCGAAACCCUAUACCCUAAACUCUAAAACUUAGGUCAUAAACCCUAAACCUAGUGCCUAAACCCUAAACUAUAAGCCUAAUGGCCUAAACCCUAAACCUUAAACCUUAGGACCUAGACCCUAAAGCAUAAAAUAUAAACUCUAAACUCUAAACCUUAGACCCUAACCACUAAACCAUAACCAUAAGCCAUAAGCCCUAAACCCUAAAGCAUAAAAUCUAAACCUUAGGUCCUAAAUCCUAAAACCUAAACCAUAAAACACGAAACCCUAACCCAUAAACCAUAAACCAUAAACCAUAAACCAUAAACAAUAAAUUGUAAAACUUAGGGCUUAAGCCCUUUUACCUUAGAGCCUAAACUCUAAACCAUAAACCAUAAAUCCUCAACCCUAAACCUUAUGGCCUAAACCAUAAAUCCUAAACCCUAAACAAUAAACUCUAAACCUUAAAGUUUAGGGUCUAAACUCUAAACCUUAAAGUUUAGGGUCUAAACCCUAAACCGUACACCCUAGGGACUAAACCCUAAAUCCUAAACCCUAAACUCUCAACCCUAAACCUUAUGGUCUAAAAUUAAAACCAUAAAUUCUAAGUCCUAAACCUAAAUCACUAAAUCAUAGUGCCUAAUCCCUAACUUUAGGGCCUCAAAUCUAAACCCUAAACUUGAAACCUAAUUAGGGCCUAAACCCUAAACCUAAUUAGGGUUUUAACCUUAAACCCUAAACUCUAAACCUUAGAGCCUAAAUCUUUAAGCAUAAACCAUAAAUCCUAACUCCUAAACCCUAAAUCCUAAACCUCAGGGUUUAAACCCUAAACUUUUGGGACUAAACCCUAAACCAUAAAUCAUAAACCCACUAAGAGGGCCUAAAUCCUAAAUCCUAAGCCAUAAACCCUAUACUCUAGAGUCUAGACCCUAAAUAUUAGGGCCUAUAUCCUAAACCCUUAACCCUAUAUCAUAAACCCUAAACCCUAUGGCAUAAACCCUAAAUACUAAUUCAUAAACCUUAAACAUUAAACUUUAUGUCUUAAACCCUAAACCCUAAACCUUACGGCCUAAACCCUAAACCCUAAAUCCUAAGACUUAAACUCAUGGUCUGAGUUGCUGCCUGAAAAUGACCCCUUGAAUCAGCUUCUUUAUACAAAGGAUUCACUUUUUCUUGUUGAACUAGAGCAUUAACCUGACCCUGCAUGAGUUCACCUUACCCUCAUCAUCACUGUGAACCAAUUCAGACCCCUCCAUAGACUCAUAAUAUAAGAAUCUUCAGCAUCAGGAUCUAUAUCUUCAAUCAAAAUUGGACUCAGAUUUUGAGUGUCAUUCUGAGUAGUCAUGUUGAUCUUGUUGUUGAUGCUACCCUGUAUCAUAGGAGCUUGAUGAGCUGUGGUAGUAGGAGCUCUAAGUUCAAUCCUAGAGUCAUCCAUAUUAGAACUACCACCCCUUUUUGGUUCCUCUUUCUGAAAGUUAGUGAUUUUCUCCUGCAUACCCCCUUUCACACCUCCAGACUUCUCAGAUCCAGAUAAAAGAACACAAUUAUUAGUGGGGUGGGGUUGAUGGAGAAUUGAGUUAAUACCUUGCUUAUUGUUGGCAUCCUUGCUUUGCUUGUUAUGAAAUACUUUAGGGGCAACACUGGGAAUGGGGACAGCAACACUACCCUGGGGUUGAGGGGUGGGGAGCAUUGAGUCAAUACCUUGCUUAUUGUUGGCAUGAUUUGAUUGUCCUGAUAAACAUUAGGGGCAACACUGGGGUGGGACUGCAACACUACUAUCGGGUUGAGGGGUGGGGAGCAUUGAGUCAAUACCUUUCUGUUGUUCUUGACUGGUUGAUUGUCCUGAUAAACAUUAGGGGCAACACUGGGGUGGGGACUGCAACACUACUAUCGGGUUGAGGGGUGGGGAGCAUUGAGUCAAUACCUUGCUUAUUGUUGGCAUGAUUUGAUUGUCCUGAUAAACAUUAGGGGCAACACUGGGGUGGGGACUGCAACACUACUAUCGGGUUGAGGGGUGGGGAGCAUUGAGUCAAUACCUUGCUUAUUGUUGGCAUGAUUUGAUUGUCCUGAUAAACAUUAGGGGCAACACUGGGGUGGGGACUGCAACACUACUAUCGGGUUGAGGGGUGGGGAGCAUUGAGUCAAUACCUUGCUUAUUGUUGGCAUGAUUUGAUUGUCCUGAUAAACAUUAGGGGCAACACUGGGGUGGGGACUGCAACACUACUAUCGGGUUGAGGGGUGGGGAGCAUUGAGUCAAUACCUUGCUUAUUGUUGGCAUGAUUUGAUUGUCCUGAUAAACAUUAGGGGCAACACUGGGGUGGGGACUGCAACACUACUAUCGGGUUGAGGGGUGGGGAGCAUUGAGUCAAUACCUUUNNNNNNNNNNNNNNNNNNNNNNNNNNNNNNNNNNNNNNNNNNNNNNNNNNNNNNNNNNNNNNNNNNNNNNNNNNNNNNNNNNNNNNNNNNNNNNNNNNNNNNNNNNNNNNNNNNNNNNNNNNNNNNNNNNNNNNNNNNNNNNNNNNNNNNNNNNNNNNNNNNNNNNNNNNNNNNNNNNNNNNNNNNNNNNNNNNNNNNNNNNNNNNNNNNNNNNNNNNNNNNNNNNNNNNNNNNNNNNNNNNNNNNNNNNNNNNNNNNNNNNNNNNNNNNNNNNNNNNNNNNNNNNNNNNNNNNNNNNNNNNNNNNNNNNNNNNNNNNNNNNNNNNNNNNNNNNNNNNNNNNNNNNNNNNNNNNNNNNNNNNNNNNNNNNNNNNNNNNNNNNNNNNNNNNNNNNNNNNNNNNNNNNNNNNNNNNNNNNNNNNNNNNNNNNNNNNNNNNNNNNNNNNNNNNNNNNNNNNNNNNNNNNNNNNNNNNNNNNNNNNNNNNNNNNNNNNNNNNNNNNNNNNNNNNNNNNNNNNNNNNNNNNNNNNNNNNNNNNNNNNNNNNNNNNNNNNNNNNNNNNNNNNNNNNNNNNNNNNNNNNNNNNNNNNNNNNNNNNNNNNNNNNNNNNNNNNNNNNNNNNNNNNNNNNNNNNNNNNNNNNNNNNNNNNNNNNNNNNNNNNNNNNNNNNNNNNNNNNNNNNNNNNNNNNNNNNNNNNNNNNNNNNNNNNNNNNNNNNNNNNNNNNNNNNNNGGAAAACAUUUUCCGGAAAAUGUUUUCCUUCAUACCAAACACACCCUACAUGUAUGAACCUCUUAUGGCCUUGGUGUUUGCAUUAAUCACUAUCUUUACUUGUUGGAAUCUGUGGAAAAAUAGAUAUGCAUGCAAAUAUGGAGGAAACAAAUCUAAUAUAAACUAGAGUGAUAUACUUGGUGCUUAAAGACACCAACAAGGAACUCAUCAACUUUCCUUACAUAAAAUGGUCAUCCAAGUGGCCUGAGUUGAUACAGUUUGGAGGAAAUUUCUUCCAUGAUAUCAAAAUUACAAAGGUAAGUUGGUUUAAGCCACCUACAAAUGUGGUUAAAAUCAAGUCUGAUGGUAGUGCAUUAGACAACCCAGGAAAGAUGGGGGAUUUUGUUUCAAUUUGUUUUUCUUACCUUCCUUUUUAGGCUUUUUAAAACAGAAUGCCUCUUUUCUAAUUUGAAAACUCCUUAAUUUCAUUAUCCCGCAUGGCAUCAUGUUUGUGACCAGAAAAUCAAAGAACAUUUCGGUACAGUAUACAGUUUUAGUUUAAAGACUACAAAAUUCAAAAGUACUCUUUACUUUCUUAAACUUUGUGUCAAGUCAAACAAAGAUAAACAAAUUGAAACUAAGGGAGUAACAACCUUUGAUCAUUUUUAGUAUCAACUAUACAUGCAGGAUUAUGAUAUUCCAUUACCAGCAAGAAGACACAUUCAAACAUGCAGUUGCAUUGACAAAAAACAGUAAAUUCAGUAUAAGCAAUUCAUAAAAUUGCACUACUUGGGAAUAUACUACAGGCAUCUCUCUCUCUCUCAGUCACACACACACACUAUCAGAUAAAGAAAGGAACUUACUUUUGUAAUGUUGUUAGAACUAGAUUUAGACUCCUCAAUGAGCACAAUGUGAAUGAGGAAGAAAGUGUAUAUUUGGAAAGCAUUUCGAUAUGAUGCAACUCGAUCAGCAAGCGAACACUCAUCCUCUUCACUGUCAUUCUUCUCUUCAUCAGCAUUUCCAUCCUUCUGUUGAGACACCCUCCAGAGAGAAUCCACAGUAGGGAGCAGCACACUGAGAUUGGACCUAAGUGAAUCCACAAGAUUGAGCUUACAGCCAGGAGUAAGGCAAGGAAACUCCUUCAUUAACGAAUACACAGGAUCGAACACAUCCUGCUCCUCCACGCAGAAUAGCUCUUUGUCAGAUAAGUCAAAGGAUACACAUGUUUAAUUGCAAACAAAAAACAGCAAAUUUAGAGAAAUGAGUUGGAAAAAUCAAAAAAGAAUGACAACCCAGAUGGAAAAUUCGAAAAGAAAACAAAAAAAAAGAGAAACCAGAUGGGAAAAUGGCAAGGAAUGUGAAUCAAGUACCUUCCCGAUGUAAUUGAAAAUGCAAGGAAACGUUUAAAUUCUAAGAGGCUGGUCUAGGACCUUCGCCAGAACCUGGUUAUUCUUCUAGUGGAAUUGGAAGAAUCAAGAUUUUGAUCACUUUUGCUGCUGUUCUUAGCUCUGGAUGUAGUGGAAUUUGAAGUAUCAAGAUUUUGAUCACUUUUACUGCUGUUGUUAGCUCAGGAUCUAGUGGAACCUGCAAAUGUACAAUUGUUAGUGUUUGUAUAGGAUAUAGGAUGUAGGAUGUUGUAAGGAACCUCUGGUGCGAUUUAUAUAGGAUUGAAGUUCAUUGUCAUCAAUUACUGAAUCAGUCACCUCACUGGAAGCAUGAGAAUUUGCUUCCGACUCAGCACAUGGUGGUUCCAAAGGUGAACAUUCUGUUUGCACUUCCAUUAUUGAAUCAGUGACUUCAGAAUCUGUUACAUGACAAAGAAAAUGAAGUUACAGAAAAUUCAAGAUAACCAAAUCAGGAACUAAGCCCACUCCUUUCCAUUAUAGAUCAUAUGAAACAGAGCAGAUGCAACAAUACUGUUUCAUGUUGGCUUCACUCAUUUUGUCUAUAUAGUUUGCACAUUGACUUUAAAAGUUUUAUCAAUCAGUUUCACCACUAGCCUCUUUAUAUAUCUCCAGCUCUCUCAGCAAAAUAACUUUAGAGCUGUUUUUAUAUCUACUCAUAAAUGUACAAUUCUGAAAAAACCCAUCAUUUAAAUUUUAUAUGGAUUUUUGAAAGAAAAAGUUGUAGUGAAGGAUCAACUAUUUAUACAAGUUACUACCACGUAAUAACUUGUUAAUAGCUACUACCUCCUCUACAUUGUUUUUAAAUUAUUUGGAUGAAUAAAAGCACAAAUGACUUGUAUAAAUUAAAGAGACAAACAUGAAGCUCUAGGUUCCCUCCACCAAAAAUAUUUUGAAAAUGAGAACUUUGUAAACGAAACAUGAAAUAGCAAUAACUACAUAAAUAGGCAAUAGAUUUGGAGAAAACUACCUUUAGUAAUUUCAGAUUCACCGAUUUCCUCUUCUUCUUUUUCAGUCACUGCGAUACUCUCUCCAAGCUCUCCACUUUCUGUUGAUGGCUUUGAGCAUUUUUGGCAGUAAGUUCUUGUUCCUUCCUCUCAAUGUCAAAUUUAUUCAACCUUUCUUCAAACUCCUCAAUGCAUGAUUCGAGUUCAGGUUUAGCAAACUUCUUCCCCUANNNNNNNNNNNNNNNNNNNNNNNNNNNNNNNNNNNNNNNNNNNNNNNNNNNNNNNNNNNNNNNNNNNNNNNNNNNNNNNNNNNNNNNNNNNNNNNNNNNNNNNNNNNNNNNNNNNNNNNNNNNNNNNNNNNNNNNNNNNNNNNNNNNNNNNNNNNNNNNNNNNNNNNNNNNNNNNNNNNNNNNNNNNNNNNNNNNNNNNNNNNNNNNNNNNNNNNNNNNNNNNNNNNNNNNNNNNNNNNNNNNNNNNNNNNNNNNNNNNNNNNNNNNNNNNNNNNNNNNNNNNNNNNNNNNNNNNNNNNNNNNNNNNNNNNNNNNNNNNNNNNNNNNNNNNNNNNNNNNNNNNNNNNNNNNNNNNNNNNNNNNNNNNNNNNNNNNNNNNNNNNNNNNNNNNNNNNNNNNNNNNNNNNNNNNNNNNNNNNNNNNNNNNNNNNNNNNNNNNNNNNNNNNNNNNNNNNNNNNNNNNNNNNNNNNNNNNNNNNNNNNNNNNNNNNNNNNNNNNNNNNNNNNNNNNNNNNNNNNNNNNNNNNNNNNNNNNNNNNNNNNNNNNNNNNNNNNNNNNNNNNNNNNNNNNNNNNNNNNNNNNNNNNNNNNNNNNNNNNNNNNNNNNNNNNNNNNNNNNNNNNNNNNNNNNNNNNNNNNNNNNNNNNNNNNNNNNNNNNNNNNUUAGAAAUCUCAAAGGACUUUGUUAAGCUUGUAAUGUAGGCUUAGGGAAGGUUAGGAUAUCAUUUAGGUAUAAGUGACUACACCCUCCUUGAACACUACACAACAACUCAUCGUUUCCAACUUUCUCCACUUCUCUUCACAAUGCACAUUCCACACUACUUUUCAGUUUUCUUUUCUUAUUUCUACUCUAGAUUCCCCACAUGCAACCAUUUUCAACUUUUCGAGAAUUCAAGCCUCAUUUAUUCAUUUUCUUUCUUCUUUCCUCUUUAUUUUUUUCUUUCUUUUUCAAAGUUUUUUCUUUCUUUUAAGACUUCCCAUCCANNNNNNNNNNNNNNNNNNNNNNNNNNNNNNNNNNNNNNNNNNNNNNNNNNNNNNNNNNNNNNNNNNNNNNNNNNNNNNNNNNNNNNNNNNNNNNNNNNNNNNNNNNNNNNNNNNNNNNNNNNNNNNNNNNNNNNNNNNNNNNNNNNNNNNNNNNNNNNNNNNNNNNNNNNNNNNNNNNNNNNNNNNNNNNNNNNNNNNNNNNNNNNNNNNNNNNNNNNNNNNNNNNNNNNNNNNNNNNNNNNNNNNNNUUAGGCUCAAAGGGGACAACUAAGGAUAUAUUUAGUACAAAGGUGGGAUUUUUAGGCCAAGUGGACUUCAAGAACAUAAAAAAAGCCUAAGAUCAUUUUUCCAACAAAACUCAAUCAAGACCAACCGGGCAAGUUCUAGGUGACAAAAGCAAACACAAGGCAUUAUUCAACAACUCACCACACAUGGCCUGCAAAUCAAUCAAGAUGGUUCAAAAUCUUACUUCCUUUUAAAAAUACAAGUAGUAUUGAACAUUUUAACCGCUAACGAAUCAAAAGUCACAAAAAGAGUGGUAAGAGUUGUCACAAAAUCAUUCGUAACAUGAUCAACCUUUUAAAAAUGGAGAGGUAUGCUCAACGCUAUUCACAUGCAUGACUAUGCUCUUAGUACCAACCAAGUCAAAACCUUCCCAAAAAGACGAUGAUUUUGCCCUUAAAAAAGCCAUCAACAAAUCCAUCAUCAUGCAACAUCAUGCAUCUAUUCGGGAACAGCUACUCAGAAUUUGCCACAAUCAACGCCAAUCAAACACUCACAAGCAAUCGAUAAUUUACCAUUAAGAAAGUCAUCACUCUCUAUCCAUCAUCGGGCAUCGUCAAUCCAAAUCUUAUUAUCAAAAGAAAAACAAAGAAGCUACAAACUACAAAUCAAAAACUAAAAUAGACCAAUUUAACACAAUAUCCACAGAAACAUCCACAAUAUCAAAUCCCGACAAGGGCACACCAAUCCAUAACAAAGAAAGAAAAGUAUGCCCGACAAGGGCACAAUCAUUGUAUGCAAAAACAAUCAACAAAAUGACUACAAGGGAGGCACCCCCAACUGAAAAUGAGAUGGUGUCCACACAAUCAAAAUAUCAAAAGAGAAUACGAGGAACUCCCUGAAUUGCAUCACUCUCAGCUCGAGCCGGUAGGAAAUGUGAGGUCCUCCUCAUCCGAAGCACUGCUACCACAUAAGCUCCUCAGCUUUCCCUUUAGAAAUGCUACAGAGGAGCAAACCAUCAGAAAACGGGAGGAAAAGAAGUUGCACUCGGAUCCAGCACAAAACAAAUAGCACAUCAAGUCUCACAAAGGCAGCAAGAAAAUGCAAGCAAGAUAGGUAACACAUUGCUACAAAUACAUCAUCAACAACACCAUGGCAGUGGCAAAUCAAGUCCUCGAUAUAGUGGGGAAGGAAGAGAGAAACCACAACAGAUGCAAGGUCCUCAAGAUAAUGAAAUCAAUAGCAAGAGUAGUCCUCAAUAUCAAAUACUGAAUAAUGAAGCAACAGUUACAAUAUUUGAGAAAAACAAACCUGUAGCAGAUGCGGAGCAAGUCGAGAAAGAGGCCCUAGCAUUGGCAGAGUUCCAUGAACCACUUCAAAGUGGAUUUUACUAGUGUUGAGGUAGUAGGUGAUGAUUCUGAUAUGAUUGCAAGGUACCCACUGUGUCCCAGAAACAAUUGUUGAUUAAGACUAAUGAUCAACACAAGGAGAUUGUACCUGCAACAAAAGCACAAUUAGAAUUGGCCCAAAAGCAAGCUUCUCCCGUGCAAGUACUACAUGAAUUUGUUUCUCAUCACCUAACGGGUAUCACAGGAGUUGCAGUACAGAUAAAUAAUCAGGAUAAAGAUGGUAAAAGAGAAGAUAAAGAGGAAAGAGAGGGACAUCAAAAUAUCAAUCAGUUGGUGAAGGAUCCUGAUUUAUCUCCACACGCAUUCUUAAAAGCUAAAAAGUGCAAGGCCAGAGUUAAUAGUAAACCUACAAGGACACUUCCUAGGAGGAGUGGAAAAUCAAGUAUUAAUGAAUUUAAAAGCUUUAUUUUGAAACAUUAGAUCUGUAAAAUCCUAACAUUCUUUUCACAGAGUGCAAAUGCUACACCGACAUAAUGAUAUUUCCAUUAUUGCAUUGAUGGAACCUUUUCAAUAUAUUAGGCAUAUACAAAGUUACAAGAGGAUAUUGGGCAGGCAUUAUGCAAACUAUAAUCAAAAUGGAAAAAAUUGGGUUUUUGUACAAGAGCAAUUCAUGUAGAAGUACUGGCAGAUUCAGACCAACAACUCACUAUUCAGCUUUCUUUCCAAGGUAAUUACCACUACGGUAUAUGCUAAGUGUGAAGCUACUGAGAGAUUACAGUUGUGGGAUGAUAUUUACCUCUUGAGUCAGAACAUGAGACUUCCCUGGCUUGUUUGUGGGGGUUUCAAUGUUAUUAUGAAUGAUGAGGAGAAGAUUGGAAGACUUCCUGUAUAUCCAACUGAAUAUAACGACUUUGCUUUUAGCAUUAAUUCCUGUGAUCUUUUUUAUAUUAAUUUCAAAGGUAGCCCUUUUACAUGGUGGAAUGGGAGAAUAGAUGAUGCUUAUAUUUUCAAAAGGCUGGACAAGAUUGUUCUUAAUCAAGCUUUUCUGGGCCUUUUGGGAAGUGUAGAAUUGGAUCAUCAGGCUAGAGUUGGAUCUGAUCACGCCCCUUUGCUAAUAUCUCAUAAUUCGGUUUUAUAACUCUAUUUUUAGAUAUUUUAAUUAUAUUUAGGUGAAUCCCCACACCCAUAUCCAUACAUGGAUCCAUAUCCCCGAAUCUUAAAAAUUAGAUCAUGAAGGAUUCGACCUCUAGAUCCGAACCCAUAUCAGACACCCGCAUCCGAGUCCGAGCAACUUAGUGUGAAUUAGUUAAGGUCACAACGAAGGCGGAAUGACAAUUUGCUAAAUCCUCUUUUUCCGGAGGAGGUAUGUAAUCACAUUAUUUAUAAAGUUGGAUGUGGAGAGGAUACAGAUGAGUGGGACAAGCUAUGGUGGAUGGCACACAGCUCAGGAAAAUUCAAUGUUAAUAGUGCUUGGAAUAUUUUGAGAAAUACAAGUAACAAGAAGAAUUCAAGUUCAUUUGGGAAAAAGGAAUUCCUUUUAAAGUCUCUUUUUUCAUAUGGAGGUUAUGGAAAAAGAAGCUCCCAAUUGGGGAAUUUCUAAUACGAAUAGCCCUGGUAGAUGAUGUACGGUGGUGUUGUUGUAAAACAAUUAGCCAAAGAAUCCUACGAGCAUUUUUUUAUUACUUGUCCAGUAGCUACCACUUUGUGGAAAACUUUUGCAGCAGCACCAGGUUUGCGAGGCCCUUUCCCACAUCUGAAAGACACCAUGUUUAAAUGGUGGAAUGCUACAUGUUCUGUCAAACUCAGACCACUUUUUAAAGCUGUCCCUACUUUUAUAAUGUGGCAAAUUUUGAAGAUGAUGAAUAUGAUAAGGCAUGGUGGUAAGAUGUCUGUGCAAGGUAUGAUGAUGGAGAUUAAUAGGAACCUUCACUACUUGGCAAUUACAAGGUAUCCUUGGUUGAGGAACAUCCCUGAUAGUUGGCCUCUGAUCCUGAAAUUCUUUGAAGCCUAUCCAUUAAUUGAAUGUAAAGUGGUGAAGUGGAAACUACCUUACGAAGGUGUCUAUAAGUACAAUUCAGAUGGAGCUUCAAAAGGAAAUCCGGGACCUAGUGCAAGUGCUUUCUGCAUUAGAAAUAAUGCAGGAGAGUUUAUAGUUGCUGAAGCUAAAAGCUAGGAAAGUGCUACAAGUUUAGAGGCAGAAGUAGUGGCGUUGAGAAGUGGACUGGAAUUUUUAUAUUUUAAACAAUUUGCUGCCUGUUAUCCUUGAAACUGAUUCUUCACAAUCAAACAGAUACUAGAUGGAAUAUGGGAAGUCCCACGUAUCAUGGCUUGUGAAAUCAAGAUGAUAAGCAGAUUAAUGGCUCAUAGAGAUGUGGAAAUCGAGCAUACACUAAGGGAGGGCAUCAUGCUAGCGGAUUUUUUGCUAAUCAAGUUUCUGUUUUGAGGUAGUCAAAGAUUAACAUAUAAUUCAAUACAAGAAGUCCAAAAUGAAGGAAAAGCUCUAAUAAACAUGGAUCGGAAUGAAAUUCCCAAUAUACGGCUAACAGGAUGUCAAAAUGAGAACUUCAGAAUGCUAUAAUAACGAUAUUAUGCUAGAAACUGUAAGGCCCCCCAACAAUCACAGAGAUUUUCACUGGAAGAGAAACAGACUUACUAGAUCGUGUGUGAAAGUUGCAAUUGGAUCUGAAUUUUUCUCUCCUCUUUGGCAGUGGUAUUACUUCUCUGUGGCAUAAACCUGCCUAGAGAGGGACUAAGAAAUGAUUUCAAUUUACAGCGUCACGAAAUUCAGUUUUGUACAAUUAAAGAUUCAACCCAGAACACAAUUUAAGAUUCAAGAUUUAACACAGAAGCACAAUUCAAGAUCAGACCCAGGUACACAUUGAAUCUGAAGUCAUAAACAAUCAUUAAUUAUCAUAAGAAUGGCUACCCCAAUCCAAGAUUCCAGAGGAGUUGAAUUAAAAUUGGAAAAAAAACAUCUGGGUUAGGAAAUGACACCCAAAAGAACAAGAAAAUCGAGAUUAUGGAUUAGAGGAAAAGGGGAAAUGGGUGAAGGUAAAAGCAUCAGCUUAUCAUAAGAAUGACAUAAAACAAAGAGCAAGACAAAACUUUAUAUGUAUAACCCCUCAAUUCAAGAAGGAAAAGGGAAAUUGUGAAACCUGAAGUUGCUCAACAGGGAAAGGGCCCUCUUGAACAUCCUCGAUUUCAUCAUUUUGGUCUUGCAUACCUUCUGAUUCUUGUGCUGCUACUCCAUUGCUAAUCUUCUUGAUGCUACUGAGAGUAACAGAUGAUUGAAAGAGACGGAAGAAUGGAGGCAAACAGAAAUAUUCAAAAGCGCGAUGAGCCUCUUUAUAUAUCUCCAACUCUCUCGCCAAAAUGACUUUAGAGCUUUUUUAUCAGUAUCUACUCUUAAAUGUAAAAUUCUAAAAAAAAACCAUCAUUUAAAUUUUAUAUGGAUUUAUGAAAAAAAAGUUGUAGUGAAGGACCAACUAUUUAUCAAAGUUACUACCACGUUAUGUUUUGUUUACAGCUACUACCUCCUCUACAUUGUUUUUAAAUUAAUUGGAUGAAUAAAAGCACAAAUGACCCGUAUAAAUUAAAGAGAUAAGCAUUAAGCUCUAGUUCCCUCCGCCUUAAAUUUUUUCAAAAUGAGAACCUUGUAAAUGAAACAUGAAAUAGUAAUAACUGAAUGAACAGACAAUAGAUUUGGAGAAAACUACCUGCAGUAAUUUCAGAUUCACCAAUUUCCUUUUCUUCUUUUACAGUCACUGUGAUGCUCUCCAAGCUCUCCACUUUCUGUUGAUGGCUUUGAGCAGUUUUGGCAGUAAGUUCUUGUUCCUUCCUCUCAAUGUCGAAUUUAUUCAACCUUUCUUCAAACUCCUCAAUGCAUGAUUCGAGUUCAGGUUUAGCAAAUUUCUUCCCCUAUAUGAAGACAUUCAAAUAGGCAGAUAAAGUUCACUGGGUUUCUUCAAGCGCGUUCGCGAAGGGUACUUUCCCUGCCAGAAAUUGCAUUUUCAGCUCUUGACCUCUUUUUGCUUCAAGUUCACUUGGUUUCUUCAAAUAUCUCUUAAAUCAGCUCUCCAUUUCAUUUUCCUACAAAUAUGAAAAAAACCCACAUUAAAAGCACCAAUUCUAAACUAAAGCAAGCCAAAAUAACUACGAAAAGAGCCUCAAAUGAGUGGGAAUCCACCACUCAUCAACACCCCCGACUUAGAAACUUUGUUUGUCCUCAAGUAAAGAAAAUCAAAANNNNNNNNNNNNNNNNNNNNNNNNNNNNNNNNNNNNNNNNNNNNNNNNNNNNNNNNNNNNNNNNNNNNNNNNNNNNNNNNNNNNNNNNNNNNNNNNNNNNNNNNNNNNNNNNNNNNNNNNNNNNNNNNNNNNNNNNNNNNNNNNNNNNNNNNNNNNNNNNNNNNNNNNNNNNNNNNNNNNNNNNNNNNNNNNNNNNNNNNNNNNNNNNNNNNNNNNNNNNNNNNNNNNNNNNNNNNNNNNNNNNNNNNNNNNNNNNNNNNNNNNNNNNNNNNNNNNNNNNNNNNNNNNNNNNNNNNNNNNNNNNNNNNNNNNNNNNNNNNNNNNNNNNNNNNNNNNNNNNNNNNNNNNNNNNNNNNNNNNNNNNNNNNNNNNNNNNNNNNNNNNNNNNNNNNNNNNNNNNUUUUCAUUUUUCUUUUCUUAUUUCCACACUAGAUGCCCACAUGCAACCAUUUUCAACUUUUGGAGAAUUCAAGCCUCAUUAAUUCUUUUUAUUUCUUUCCUUUUCAAAGUUUUUUCUUUCUUUAAGAAUUUCCAUCCAUCCUUCAAUUUCUCUCUUCUUCUUUUUUCUUUUUCUUCUUUUUAUAUCAAGUCCUCAUGUGGUAAGCAUCCCUUCAAUGAAUUUCCCAUAACACCCCAACUUAGGCUUUUAGCCUCAACUUUCAGAACCUCAAGUUCAAGGAGGGAAGGGUUCAAAAGAGGGUUCCUUCUUCAAAAAGGAUAAGGCUUGUAAUGUGGUUGCCAAUAAAAAGGAUUAGGCUCAAAGGGGACAACUAAGGAUAUAUUUAGUACAAAGGUGGGAUUUUUAGGCCAAGUGGACUUCAAGAACAUCAAAGAAAGCCUAAGAUCAUUUCUCCAACCAAACUCAAUCAAGACCAACAUUUCAAGACCAACCGGGCAAGUUCUAGGUGACAAAAGCAAACACAAGGCAUUAUUCAACAACUCACCACACAUGGCCUGCAAAUCAAUCAAGAUGGUUCAAAAUCUUCCUUUUCAAACUACAAGUAGCAUUGAACAUUUUAACCGCUAACGAAUCAAAAGUCACAAAAAGAGUUGUAAGAGUUGUCACAAAAUCAUUCAUGACAUGCUCAACCUUUUAAAAAUGGAGAGGUAUGCUCAACAUUAUUCCCAUGCAUGACUAUGCUUUUAGUACCAACCAAGUCAAAACCUUCCCAAAAAGACGAUGAUUUUGCCCUUAAGAAAGCCGUCAACCAAUCCAUCAUUAGGCAACCUCAUGCAUCUAUUCAGGAACAGCUACUCAGACUUCGCCACAAUCAACGCCAAUCAAACACUCACAAGCAAUCGACGAUUUACCCUUAAGAAAGUCAUCACUCUCUAUCCAUCAUCGGGCAUCGUCAAUCCAAAUCUUCUUAUCAAAACAAAAAUCAAGAAGCUACAAACUACAAAUCAAAAACUAAAAUAGACCAAUCCAACACAAUAUCAACAGAAACAUCCACAAUAUCAAAUCCCGUCAAGGGCACACCAAUCCAUAACAAAGAAAGAAAAGUAUGCCCGAUAAGGGCAUAAUCACUGUAUGCAGAAACAAUCAACAAAAUGACUACAAGGGAGGCACCCCCAACUGAAAAUGAGAUUGUGUUCUCACAGUCAAAAUAUCAAAAGAGAAUACGAGGGACUCCCUGAACUGCAUCACUAUGAGCUCGAGCCGGUAGGAAAUGUGAGUUCCUUCUCAUCCGAAGCACUGCUGCCACAUAAGCUCCUCUUUAGCUUUAUAGAUGCUACAAAGGGGAAAACCAUCAGAAAACGGGAUGAAAAGAAGUCGCACUCUGAUUAAAGAUCCAGCACAAAACAAAUAGCACAUCAGGUGUGUAAUCACAUUAUUGAGAAAGUUGGAUGUGGAGAGGAUACAAAUGAGUGGGACAAGCUAUGGGAUGGCACACAACUCAGGAAAAUUCAAUGUUAAUAGUGGUUGGGAGAUUUUGAGAAAUGCAAGUAACAGGGAGAAUUCAAGUUCAUUUGGGAAAAAGGAAUUCCUUUUAAAGUCUCUUUUUUCAUAUGGAGGUUAUGGAAAGAGUAGCUCCCAAUUGGUAAAUUUCUAAUACGAAUAGCCCUGGUAGAUGAUGUAAGGUGUUGUGAAACAUUAGCCAAAGAAUCCUACGAGCAUCUUUUUAUUACUUGUUAAGUAGCUACCAGUUGUGGAAAACUUUUGCAGCAGCAGCAGGUUUGCGAGGCCCUUUCCCACAUCUGAAAAGACACCAUGUUUAAAAUGGUGGAAUGCUACAUGUUCUGUCAAACUCAGACUACUUUUUAAUGCUGUCCCUACUUUUAUAAUGUGGCAAAUUUGGAAGAGGAGGAAUAUGAUAAGGCAUGGUGGUAAGAUGUCUGUGCAAGGUAUGAUGAUGGAGAUAAAUAGGAACCUUCACUACUUGGCAAUUACAAGGUAUCCUUGGUUGAGGAACAUCUCUAAUAGUUUGCCUCUGAUAGUGAAAUUCUUUGAAGCCUAUACCCCAUUAAUUGAAUGUAGAGUGGUGAAGUGGAAACUACCUAACGAAGGUGUCUAUAAGUGCAAUUCAGAUGGAACUUCAAAGGAAAUCCGGGACCUAGUGCAAGUGCUUUCUGCAUUAGAAAUAAUGCAGGAGAGUUUAUAGUUGCUGAAGCUAAAAGCUAGGAAAGUGCUACAAGUUUAGAGGCAGAAGUAGUGGCGUUGAGAAGUGGACUGGAAUUUUUGUAUUUUAAACAAUUUGCUGCCUGUUAUCCUUGAAACUGAUUCCUUCGCAGUCAAACAGACACUAGAUGGAAUAUGGGGAAGUCCCAUGUAACAUAUAGAGAUGUGGAAAUCGAGCAUACACUAAGGGUAACAUGCUGGUGGAUUUUUUUUGCUUAUCAAGUUUUCUGUUUUGUAGGACUCAAAGAUUAACUUAUAAUUCAAUACAAGAAGUCCAAAAUGAAGGAAAAGAUAUAAUAAACAUGGAUCGGAAUUAAAUUCCCAAUAUACGGCUAACAAGAUGUCUAAAUGAGAACUUCAGAAUGCUACAAUAACGAUAUUAUGCAAGAACUGUAAGAGCUCGCAACAAUCACAAAGAUUUUCACUGGAAGAGAAACAGACUUACUAGAUCGUGUGUGAAAGUUGCAAUUGGAUCUGAAUUUUUCUCUCCUCUUUGGCAGUGGUAUUAGUUCUCUGUGAGCUCAACCUGCCUAGAAAGGGAAUUAAUCUGAAAUGAUUUCAAUUUACAGCGUCACGAAAUUCAGUUUUGUACAAUUAAAUAUUCAACCAAGAACACAAUUUAAGAUUCAAGAUUUAACACUGAUGGUUUUUACACUGUGAAGUUUGAGUAAAAUGUAAGUUUCUACUUGUCGAUGUGUUCUGUUGUGGCCUGUGGGUCUUGACAACCUCUUCUUGUCAUGUUAGGAAGAUCAAGAAACUGCAAACAGGAUGUACCGCAUAGCAAGGGCAUCUGAAUUUUUGGUGAUCGCUGGGAUUGGUAUUAAUGAACUGAAGAUCACAAAAAAGGCACUAGUAUGGCCAUUGCAGAAAUGUCGGGUCAUUGAUGUUACUCCUGUGAACUAUACUUUUGAAGUCAAUGCUAUGAGUGCUGAGAAGCUGCCCUUCCUUCUCCCUGCUGUUUUCACUAUAGGUCCAUGUGUGGAUGACCAUGAGAGACUUAUCAAAUAUGCUAAACUUCUAUCCCACCAUGCACGUGAUUCACACGAUGCGAAGGACCUUGUUCAAGGUGUCAUUGAGGAAGAUACUCGUGUCUUGGCUGCUUCCAUGACCAUGGAGGAAAUCUUUAAAGGCACAAAAGAUUUCAAGAAGGAGGUAUUUGACAAGGUUCAGCUUGAGCUCAACCAAUUUGGCUUGCUGAUUUACAAUGCUAACAUUAAGCAACUGGUCGAUGUUUGAGGGCACGAAUACUUUUCUUACUUGGGGCAGAAAACUCAAAUGGAAGCUGCAAACCAAGCAAAAAUUGAUGUUUCUGAGGCCAAAAUGAAGGGUGAGAUUGGAGCUAAGGAGCGAGAAGGUCUCACACGUCAAAAUGCUGCCAAAAUUGACGCUGAGACAAAGAUCAUAUCCACCCAAAGGGAUGGUGAUGGAAAGAAAGAGGAGGUUAAAGUGAAGACUGAUGUUAAGAUAUAUGAAAAUCAGAGAGAAGCUGAGGUGGCUGAGGCGAAUUCUGUUCUGGCAACCAAGAAGGCUGGGUGGUCUCAGCAAGCAAAAAUGGCUGAGAUCGAAGCCCAGAAAGCUGUAGCAAUACGGGAGGCUGUAUUACAACAAGAAGUUGAGAGAAAGAAUGCAUUGACUAAGACAGAGAGCCUGAAAGCACAACAUCUCAGUAAGGCUACUGUUGACUAUGAGAUUAAGGCAAGUCCAUCAUGUCACAACACUUCUCUUUUAGUACCUUGGGGCAGAUUUUUUUUGCUAAUCAAGUUUUCUGUUUUGUAGGUACUCAAAGAUUAACAUAUAAUUCAAUACAAGAAGUCCAAAAUGAAGGAAAAGUUAUAAUAAACAUGGAUCGGAAUUAAAUUCCCAAGAUACGGCUAACAAGAUGUCAAAAUGAGAACUUCAGAAUGCUACAAUAACGAUAUCAUGCCAGAAACUGUAAGGGCUCGCAACAAUCACAAAGAUUUUCACGGGAAGAGAAACAGACUUACUAUAUCGUGUGUGAAAGUUGCAAUUGGAUCUGAAUUUUUCUCUCCUCUUUUCUCUGUGAGCUCAACCUGCCAAGAAAGGGAAUUACUCUGAAAUGAUUUCAAUUUACAGCAUCACGAAAUUCAGUUUUGUACAAUUAAAGAUUCAACCAAGAACACAAUUUAAGAUUCAAGAUCAGACCCAGCUACACAUUGAAUCUGAAGUCAUAAGCAAUCAUUAACUAUCAUAAGAAUGGCGAUUGCAGACGAGUUGAAUUAAGGUUGGAAAAAAGAACAUCUGGCUUAGGAAACGACACCCAAAAGAACAAGAAAAUUGAGAUUUUGUAUUAGAGAAAAAGGGAAAAUGGGUGAAGGUACAAAGCAUCUGCUUAUUGUAAGAAUGAAAUAAAACAAAGAGCAAAGCAAAACUUUAAAUGUAUAACCCCUCAAUUCAAGAACGAAAAGGGAAAAUUGUGAAACCUGAAUUGUUAAUCUCCAUUACUAAUCUUCUUGAAAAGGAAAACGACACCCAAAACCUCCAUUGCUAAUCUUCUUGAUGCUACUGAGAGUAACAGAUGAUCCAAAGAGAUGGAAGCACGGAGGCAAAAGGAAAUAUUUCAAAAGCAUGCGUGAUGAGCCGUUACACUUCUGCUCAUCUUCGCUUCUUGCUUGUGAGUUUGAAAAAAUAAAUAAACACAAUGGAACUAAUAAAUAAAUAAUAUACUCAAUAUUUGUUUAUUUUUCGACAUUUAUUUUAACACAUGCACCAAAAUAAAUAAAUAGUAAUAAUAUAGUUAUGAUUAGGGUUGGGCGUUCGGUCGGAUUAGUUCAUGAUAUUCGGUUCGAUUUUUUUAUUUUCGAUUUGGUGAAAAUGUAAAUCAAAACCAAAUUGAAAUAAGUUCGAUUUGGCUCGAUUUUCACAAUUUUGGUUCGGUUUGUUUUUUUUUAGUUUAUGAGAUUACAUUAGAUAUGUUGUUAUGAACAAAUUCACCUCCUUGUAAAAUUUCAAAUAAGGUGUGAUUUGAUCUCUGAUAGAACGUACACAAUAAUUAGAUGAUUUUUAAAAUUUUAGGACCUCAUUACUUGUUAUACAUCUUCAGAUUUAGAUGUUAUACGCUCAUGUUCAGUUAAAACAUUUCCAAAUAAGCAUACAAGGUCUCUGUCUCUGAAUGUGAGAGACGAGGGUGGUCGACAAGUGGUUUGUGUGAGUCAUGACGACAGCGACAGCGAUGGCGACGACCUAUGGUGUGCAUAAGUCACAUGAUAACAACGAUGGAUAACAGAGAUGAGCGGAUUGUGGAGAGGUUAAUGGUUAGGACUUAGGAAUUUCAAUUUUAAUUUUGGAUUAAUUUUAAAUUGGGUUAAUUUUAAUGGGUUGUGGGCAGUAGCCAUUUGGGGGAGUCCAGGGCUCAAGGCAUGAGUUCAUGUGAGUAAAUUACAUUUUGAUUUUUUGGUUUAACCGAAUUAAAUUAUUCAAAACUCGAAAAUCGAACCGAAAAAAGUAAAAUUUCAAUAUCUUAAAUUGAAACCAACCGAUUAAAUUGAAAUCGAAAUUUAAAAAAAUUCAGUUCGAUCGAUUUUUUCGAUUUGAACCGAAAUAUGUCAAGCCCUAGUGAUGAUGUACAAUAACUUAUUGUACAUAUAUUAAUGAUGAAAACUUGAAUAGAUACGAAAUUAUACUAGAUGUCCCUCAAAGUGUGUCAUCUUGGUUUUUUGUCUCUCGUAGAAAAAAUCUUCAAGACUAGUAAUUUUUCUUCAGUAUCUCUUUUGAACUUGGCAGCAAAACUUACUUUAGCAUUUUAACUAAACAGACGUUUAAAUACCUCUUAACAACUUUCAAGUUAAUUAAAUUACACCCUAAUGGGUGACGUGACAAAGUGAGUUGACUCACUCUCCCAAAUGCGCGUGAAGAUAUUAAAAAAAAUUAUAAAAUCAUACACAUGUCAUUUUCUAUAGGUCAAUAUAUAAUUAGUAUUUUAAAUAUUAUUUUAUUGAUACAUUAACUUUUUUAAAAAUAUGUGAAUUUUUUUGGUGGCCCAAAAAAAUUAAUUUUCUUUUUCUUUAUUUUGUUGUCUUCCCCAAUAUAACUUCUUCUCCAUUGAAGCAUCACCACUUCCUUCAUCUUCAACUUUGUUCACUACUUCCAUUUCACCAAUCCUUUAGUAAUCCAUAAAAUUCAACACCAAUAUCUUUUAUUGACGUCAAUUUCACAAAUAUAACAAUUUACAUAAAUUUUGAGUGAUCUGUUUUUAUUUUUUUUAAUUUCCACAAGACAAAUUUGAGGUGGGGGGAGAGGGGAGGGAUUCGAAGAAGAAAAUAUGGUAUUGUAGUAAUACUUCUCUAAAGUUAUUUAAAUUUUUUUUUGAAUUUUUUGAAUGAUCCGUUUUAAUUUUUUUAAUAGAUUCAAAGAGGGGAAAGGGAGGGGAGGGGAGAGGAGGAAUUCGAAGAAGAUAAUGUUGUAUUGUAAUGGUUCUUCUCUAAAGCUAUUUUUUAAAAAUAAAUUGUGAAGAGGCAGAAAAAAGAGCAGUGAAGGGAUAGAAAUGAUGAAGAAGAAAGAAGUGAGGGGAGGGGAAAUAAAAAUGGGUCUUUGAUUUUAGAAAAUGUAUUUUUAAUUAAUUAAUUAAUUAGUGUAACUUAAUUUUAAAAAGUGUUAAAGAAAAAAAUGGUUAAUAAACAAAAAGAAAUAAAUAAAAGUAAUGACGUGGUGGUGACAUGGCUAUGUUGUGGCGCUUACAUGGCUAUGAUAUGGCAGGUGAGAGUGGUAUUAUAUUCAUUUCAAAAUUGUUAAGGGGUAUCUAAAUGCAUGUGUAGUUAAAGUUUUAAGGUAAAUUUUGUUGCCAAGUUCACAGGUGAUUUGAUGUGUUUUUUUUUUCUUUUCUUUAUGUAUAGAACAAAUAUAAUGUUGUCCCUCUAUACCUCAAAUGUUUUUAAACAACCUCCAUGUUCAAUUGUCUUUCACUAUUUUUUCUUCUUUUUUUUCAUUCUUGAGUUUUAUUAUUUUUCUUUUAUUUAUAAUUUUUUUCUUUUUUUUUCUUAACUCUUAUUAUUUUUGCUAAUGAAUUGAAAGUUGAGUAGAAGAUCUUCUUUCUUUAAUGUAACGAUUCUUCUAGUCAUUUUGUAAAUUUUACUUGUUUUCUAUAGCUUAGCCCUGCUUACAACCUUUUUCAUGGAUAAUUUAUAACUUGCGGGAAUAAGUGACGUGAUUUUUGAAAUAUUUUUUUGUUUUUAAUAAAUAGAAGGGAAAAAGAGAAAGAGUUUUGUAUGUCGUUCUAUUUUUAUACCUGCCUGUCUGCCUAUCUAUCUAUCUAUCUAUCUAUCUAUCUAUCUAGCUAGCUAGCUAGCUAGCUAGCUAGAUGUCUGUCUGUGUAUCUAUCAUCUCUAUCUAUCUAUUUAUCUAUCCAUCCAUCCAUUUAUUUAUUUUACUAGUUUCAGGGCACGUGUGUAUAGUAUAUAUAGUAUACGAUGUUGUAAAAUAGAAUUAAUAUUACUAAAUUAAUUAUUUUUAGUAAAUAAUUAUAACUUAAAAAACAUAGGACAAGUGCUUUAAAAUGAUUAAUACGUAUUGUUAUAGAGUUACUUGUAUUUUGAGAUCAAAAUGACCAGAUAUUUUUGAAACAUUUCAAAAUACAUUCAAAGUUCAAAUAUGGGGAGAAAGUGACACUUCUUUAUUAGUAUUAUUAUUUACAUAACUCAAUUUUGUAAACAAAUCUAACCAACAAAAUUUAAAAAAAAAUAUCAAUACAAAAAAUGUCACCAAUAGUCUUUCCUCUUGAGGUUAUGAACAUAAAUGAUGGACACCAUUUAAGUAUAAUUUUCUCUCUUAAAUAUUCAUAUUUCAAAUUAAGUAUGUGCAUGAAACUAAUAAGGAUUACCAUAAAUAUUUCAAUAUUUUAUCUUUAUACGUAAUCUAUCUUUUACCAAUUAAUACUUGAGUACGACUAUCAUAGAGAGGUAAUUCUACAAAAAAGGUACUUUAUUGUUAUAACGAAUGAUGGUUAAAUUGAGGUUUGAGUGCAUGUCAAAUAUUUAGCUUGACAAUUUCUUUCUUUUAGAUAUACAUAUAUAUUUAAGUAGCAUAAUUUAAUUUUAAUAUAUAUAUAGCAUCACCUUUGGUGAAAAAUAUUUCAUUUCUUUAAAUUUCUACCGUAUCUUUGUAGAAUUGUAGUCUUCUCCUUUUUCCUGCUGCAUACAUACCAUAUAGUUGUUGUUUUAAUGAAAGUAUCUAGUAUCUUAUACAAGUUAUAUCGUGAUAUAAAAUAUUAAACUUUUUCAAUAAUAAAAAUUAAUAGAUGAAUAAAAUUUAAAUUAUUGUUUAUAGAAUCUUUAAUUUGAAUCAAGAUUAUUUUAUGAUCAAUCACUAUUUACUUAUCUAUUUUUAUAUAGCUAACAAGGAGUGUAUCAUGUGACCUAAAAUUUUCUCAAAUUAAAUGAACAAAAAAUAAUAGGAGAAAAUAUAUGGAAAGAUACAUAGCCAAUGAAGAUGGAAGACGGAAAUAUAGUUUCAUGUUAUAUUCACAAUAGAGUUCUAUUUGAUUAAAAUCUCUUGUAACCAACACUUUACUUUUUCGUUCAUUUUUACUUACAUAUCUAUUAAAAUAUAUAUUAUCAUAUUAUAAGUAAUAGUGAAAAUCUAUUUUUGAAAUAGUGAAUUUAACAUCAAAACUAAUAAUUCAACGAACUAAUGCUCAUUGUUUUAGCCAAAUCAGAAAGAAAUUAUUUUAUUUGAGGGUAAAAAAGAGAAAAUGGCCAAAUCCCUCCUCAAUCUAUAACCAAAUUCUCAACUACACACUUAUAUUUUAUGAGAGUCCUAUUACCCCCUUGAACUACUUUAAAGCGAAAUAUAUACCACCCUUAAACUAGAUAACCACAUUCUUUGUAUGUGGCGUGCACACGCGCUACAACUGUCAAAUAUCAUUAUCAUUAUUAUUUUAAAAGUAAAUGUUAUUCUUCUUUUUCAUUGCCAACAACAUCAUCUUUACUCUUCUCUUCUCCAGAUAUUGAGACAUGAUUUUUAUUUCUUUUCACUGUAAACUCCCCUAAACCUUUAUCUCCCUCCACCCCAUUUCUCCCUAGACACCCCACCCCCACCCCCACCCUCGUCUUCCAUAACCCACAAAUUAGAUCUCAAUUCAAGAUUCAUAUCAACACUUAUCAUCUCUUUUUCGGGUAAAAGAAAAUCAACAAUAUUUAUCAACAACAUCACCAUCACAACAACAAUUUUAUCAAGUCAUUUAGAUCAACCCCUUCACCUCUCCCACCCAAAUUCUGCAAUCUUGGCACCAAUUUUAAGUUCGAAGUUUUUGCUAAUCAUCUUGGACUUGAGUACAAUUAUGCCCUUUUGAAUCCUUCUUUAAAUAGUGUAGGAUUUAUGCCUUUUAAACUUGAGGAAAUAAUUUGGAUUAUCAGGGUUGAGCAUAAUCGACUGGUGGUUGCUGCUCAAGUUCCUAAAAUCGUUAUUGGGUGUAGUUUGAAUUCUUCAUCGAAAAGUAAUAGAGAUUAGAUAAUAUCUGAAGGUUGGUGAAUUUUAUUAGAGUAAAGAGAUUAAAGACGAUUUAAUUUUAUUCACUAUAUGAGUAAUAUAAUAAUUUUAAUGCUUAUUUGGUGAUUUCGAUGGUGAUUUACAAUGUUAAGAAUUGUGAGUAAAUAGUGUGACAAAUAAUGAGAAAGUACUAAAAGAUGGGUGAAGACAUUGGCUGCUAUGGUAGUGGGCUAGUGGUGGUUCAACAAUGGUGAUGAAGAACAUGUAAGGUGGGGUGAUUUUUUUGAGUGAUGAGAGAGAAAAUUAAAUAAAAGACAAAAGUAAAAAAUUAUAUAGUAAAAAAAAAGUCAAAAUAUUUUUAAAAUAUCUUUUUAUCAGUUUUUUCAACUUUCACAUGCCUUCAAGAGUGUGAGCACACUCUCUGUGCCAUGUCAGCACUUAAGGGUGCAUUUAUACUACUUUAAAAUAGUUUAAGGGGUAAUAGGACCCCUAUAAAAUAUAAGUGUGUAGUUGAGAAUCCGGUUAUAGGUUGAGGGUGUAUUGGACCAUUUUCUCGGGUAAAAAAUAAAAAACCAAAGAAGAAAUAUCUUACCCAAAUCAUGUGACUUUAUUCAUAUUUUAUUAUUAUUAUUGUCUUCCCACAACAUUUCCUCACCGUUAACUCAUAAAAAUCGUAAGAAAAUAUACGAGUGUCAAUUUAUGAAUGAUUUGCUACAAUUUGUUCACCAACUCCAUCUUAUGUGGUACCUCGGAUUUCAUUGAAUUUUGAACUUAAUCAACUAUUACAAAUAACCCUGAGAUUUUUUUUAAGAAGUAGAAGAGUAGAAAACUUUAAAAAUCGUAGUUUAAAAGUGAGAGGAAACCCUCUAUUUAUAGCUAACAAAUAGUAGUAUUAAUAGGUGCUAAUUGUUCCUUAUCAGAAAAGUUGACCUUUCAUAAAAGUCACUGCUCAUCGGAAAAAUCACAACCUUUUGCAAAAGUCACAACUCAUCGGAAAAGGCACAACCCUUUGAAAAAAAUCACAACCUUUCAGAAAAGUCAUAACUCUUCGAAAAUGUCAAACAUAAAAUUUUCUCAAAUUAAAAUGAACACAAAAUAAUAGGAAAAAAUAAUAUGGAGCGAUAGAUAGCAAAUGAAGAAGGAAGACAAAAAUAUAUGUUCAUGCUAUAUUCACUUUAGAGUUCUAUUUGAUUAAAAUCUCUUGUCACCAACACUUUACAUUCUUCGUUCACUUUUACUUACAUAUCUAUUGAAAAUAAUUAUUAUCAUGUAUAUAUUAUCAUACUAUAAGUAAAAGCGAAAAUCUAUUUUUGAAAUAGUAGAUUUAACAUCAAAACUAAUGAUUCAAUGGACUAUGUUGAUGCUCGGUGCUUUAGCAAAAUCAGAAAGAAACUGCUUCAUUUGAGGGUAAAAAAAACAAAUAAAAAAUCAAAGAAGAAAUAUCUUACACAAAUCAUAUGACUUUAUUUAUAUUUGUUUAUUAUUAUUGUCUUUUCCACAAUAUUUCGUUACUGUUAACUCAUGAAAAUCGUAAGAAAAUAUACGAGGUGACUUUAUGAAUGAUUUGCUGCAAUUUGUUCACCAACUCUUUCUUAUCUUGUAUCUUGAAUUUCGUUAAAUUUUUAACUUAAUCAACUGUUACAAAUAACCCUUGGAUUUUUUAAGAAGAAGAAGAAGAGUAGAAAAUUUUAAAAAAUUGUAGUUUAAAAGUGAGAGGAAACCCUCUAUUUAUUUCUAACAAAUAGUAAUAUUAAUAGGUGCUAAUUGUUCCUUAUAAGAAAAGUUACAACCUUUUGUAAAAGUCACUGCUCAUCAUAAAAAUCACAACCUUUUGCAAAAGUCACAACUCAUCGUAAAAGACACAACCCUUCGGAAAAGUCAUAACCCUUUGAAAAAAAUCACAACCUGUCGGAAAAGUCACAACUCAUCAAAAAUGUCAAACAUAAAAUUUUCUCAAAUUAAAAUGAACAGAAAAUAAUAGGAAAAAAAAUAUAUGGAACGAUACAUAGCUAAUGAAGAAGGAAGAAGAAAAUAUAUGUUCAUGCUAUAUUCACUAUAGAGUUCCAUUUGAUUAAAAUCCUCUUGUCACCAACUACUUUACUUUCUUCGUUCAUUUUUACAUACAUAUCUAUUAAAAACUUAUUAUUAUCAUGUCUAUAUUAUCAUAUUAUAGGUAAUAGUGAAAAUCUAUUUUUUAAAUAGUGGAUUUAGCAUCAAAACUAAUGAUUCAAUGGACUACAUUGAUGCUCCUUGUUUUAGCAAAAUCAGAAAGAAACUGCUUAAUUUGAGGGUAAAAAAAAAAAAAACCAAAGAAGAAAUAUUUAUUAUUAUUGUCUUUACCACUACAUUUUGUCACUGUUAACUCAUGAAAAUCGUAAAAAAAAUACGAGUGUGAAUUUAUGAAUGAUUUGCUACAAUUUGUUCACCAGCUCUUUCUUAUGUGGUACCUCAAAUUUCGUUGAAUUUUGAACUUCAUCAAAUGUUACAAAUAACUGUGAGAUUUUUUAAGAAGAAGAAGAAGAGUAGAAAACUUUAAAAAACUGUAGUUUAAAAGUGAGAGGAAACCCUCUAUUUAUAGCUAACAAAUAGUAGUAUUAAUAUGUGUUACUUGUUCCUUAUCAGAAAAGUUACAACCUUUUGUAAAAGUCAAUGCUCAUCGGAAAAAUCAGAAUCUUUUGCAAAAGUCACAACUCAUCUGUAAAGGCACAACCCUUCGGAAAAGUCACAACCCUUUGAAAAAAUCACAACCUUUCGAAAAAGUCAGAACUUGUCGAAAAUGUCAAAACCCGUAAAAAAGUCUCAUCGGAAAAGGUACAACCCUUCAGAAAAGUCACAACCCUUUGAAAAAAUCACAACCUUUCGAAAAAGUCAGAACUCAUCGAAAAUGUCAAAACCCGUCAAAAAGUCGAAACCCUUUGGAAAAGUCACAUUUGUUUGAGAAAAUCGCAACCUUUUAAUAUGAAAGGGUAUUUACAUUUAAUAUAAUACAAAUAAUUAAAUUAAUAAAUAAAACAAAUUGAGUAUUUUUAAUUAGGGGUAUUAUAGUAAUUCAACAUUCAUUUUAGGAGUUCAUACUUUUAAGGUAGUAUAGAUAUUAUAUUAAAAGCACACACAUUUUCACAUUUAAGGGUUGUGAAAUUUCCAAAGAUUUAUAAUUUUUCCGAUGAGUUGUGACAUUUUCAAGGGUUGUGACUUUUCUACAAGGUUGUGACUUUUCCGAAGAGUUGUGACUUUUUUGAAGGGGUUGUGACUUUCCAAAGAGUUAUGAAUUUUCGAUGAGUUGUGACCAUUUUUUUUUUGAUAAGGCACAAUAAGCAUUUUUCUUUGUUGGCUAUAAAAAGAGGGAUUUCCUCAAAUUUUUUAACUACAAUUUUUUUAAUGCUUUUCAUUGUUCUUCUUCUUAAAACACUCAAUAUAGUAUAUUUUCUAUUAUAUUAAAAGAAGACACCAUUUUACAUUGAAUGGUUACAACUUUUCCAAAGACUUGUAACUUUUUCAAUGAGUUGUGACCUUUUCGAAAGGUUGUAACUUUUAUGAUAAGAAACAAUAUGUGUAUGCUCAUACUACCCAUUGUUAACUAUAAAUAGAGGAGUUUCCUCACAUUUUUAAACUACAAUUUUUUUUAUGUUUAUAUUCUUCUCUUAAAAAAAACUCAAGUUUGAUUUACAGACGUUGACAAUUUCAAAGUUCACUGAAACUUGAUCACUUCCUAACAUGAAUGUUCAAAUUAAUAGGCGGAAUGGUCUGGGAGACCCUUGUACUUGGCUCCGUUUGUAUGUUGGACCCUUAUACUUACGACUUUGUCAAUCGAACCCUUAAACUCGCUGAAACACAAUUAUUAAACACCUCUGACCAUUGAUUGAACACAUGUGACAUUAAUAUUGCUGACUUGGAAUGAUGCGUGGUUCCACGCGUUUUAAAGAAAGUGUCUGAAAUUUAUAUGAAAAAAACAAUUAAAUUUUUUAAAAAUAAAUAAAUGAAAAACACCAAAAAAAACAUAAAGGCAGUUAUCUUCUUCAAGCAGCCUGUCGCUGCUGCCCCCCCCCCAACCAACCCCCCAACCAAAUUUCUUAAACCCAUUCCACUUCUUUCCUUCUCUCUUUGGAUUCACCCACCAUUUCCCUUCUUCUUCUUAACACCCCGCACACUGUCUCACCCCUAAAUAUUUUCUCAAAAUUCAUUCUUUUUAAAAAUUUCGAUUUCAUGCGUAGUCUUUGGUGAUAGUGGGUAUUGAAAAAUGAAAAACUUCAUUGAUAAGCUUGAUGAAGCUUCAAGAAUAAUAAAUGGGUUUUGUGAAUUUAUGAAAUAAAUUUGAAAUUGUAUAGAGAUUUGUUGGGUUUAUGUUUGUGAACAAUAUAGUGUAAAAUUCAAGUCAAAUAGUUAAGAAUUCCACCAAUUUAACAUGAAUUUGGUGCUCAAUUUGAGAGCAAAAAUGGAGAAAAUAAUGUUCAAAAUUUCUAGCAUAUGCAGAAGUACUCUUUUUAUUUUUAUUUUAUUUGUUUAAUAUUUAAUUUAUUGUGUGUCAUUAAAAAUGACGUGGAAUUCUACCUGUAAAUGAGUGUACCACACGCACACACAUAGGAUGAGGAAAGAGUUUAAAAUAUUGUGUUUCAGUGAGUUAAAAGGUUUAGUUGACAAAAUUGUAAGUAUAAGGGUCCAACUUACAAACAGAACAAAGUAUAAGGGUCUCUCAAGUCAUUCUGCCAAAUUAAUAUAAUACUCUGACUAAAAACAUCCAAUUUAGUAAAUAUUCUAUAUUUUAUAUCAAUAUUUAUUUAUAUUAUAUUACAUUGAAAGUAAGAACUCCAACGAUACAAUAAUAACUAAGUUAAUGGGUCAAGUCUAAUAUUUAUUUAAUACCUUAUACCACUUGGCCCAUGUAAUAACCCGUUAGGUCAUUUUGAGAAUUUGGACUAUUUUGACUCUUCCCGUAAAAUUUUAGAUGAAAAUUUUGAACAAUUCAGUAACUACGCUUAUUUAAUUGUCAGAAAUUUUUUAAUUAUUAAUUUAAUUAGAAAGUAAUGGGCCAAGUCUGAAAUCUAUCCUAUACCCUUUACCACUUGGCCCAUAAAAUUAAAUUAAGUUAGUGGGUUUUGCCACUUUAAAUACCUAAUUAGUUUAUUUGAAAAAGGAAAAGAAUUGUGGCAGAAAACUUCCCUCUGCAGACGAACGAGAGAAGAAGAGAAAACAAAAUAAAACCAUACUUCGAACUUCAGGUAAGCAAAAAAUUAGUGCACAUUCUUAAUUUUUCUAUAGCUUGCUAUGUAUAUGAAAUAUAUGGCGUUCUAUUUAAAUUGGGUGGACAAGGAAUUGAAAUUGUUUUCUCUAACUACGAUGUCACGAGUGGAGGAAUAAAUUGAGGACUUGUGAUAGUUGAAUGUAAGGGUAAUAUUUAGGUAAUGAUAAUUUAAUAAUUAGGAUAUAAUGAGUGAGUGUGGGGAUAAUCAUUGACAGAGAAGGAUGUCUGCAUAAAUGAAACAUGUAUAUAGUUCCAUUAGUUAUUAUUUUAUCUUAUUUCGUGGGUAAGGUUACACGUGAGUAGCUAUUGGCUUAAAAUUUUGAAUUUUCAUAUAGUUAUUACUAUUUGAAGUUUUAAUAUGUGGAUAUAGGUAACAAAUUUUUGGUGGUAUUGUAUUAUAUGAAUAUCAUUAGAUUCAUGAUAUUUGGGGCUUAACUCUAGCCUUGAAAUUUAACAAAUAUGUGUUUGACAUAUCAGUUGACACCAAAAUUAGGAGUUUGAUUAUCGAUUAGUGUAAGUUUGGGUCUAGGCUAGACAUAUAUUAAUAUGGGUGUCUAUAGACUCAUUUGUUUAAGAAUAUUUCAUAUUUGAUAGAUUCAAAACGUUCGAAAGCUUUGCGAAAGGGGAAGGAAAAAUCUUGAGGAUUUGUGGCACGUGUUCGACAUUCAAGGUAUGUUAAGACUUUCAGACUUCGUUGAAGGACAUUUUUCUAUUUAAAGAUUAAAAAUGAAAUAGACCAUGAGUAAGGGCGAAAGAUAGGGUCUUGUACCAAUGGUGUGAUGGGCAAUGGUACGAGUAGUGGUGUUAUAAAGGGAAAGCUUAUCACUAUAGAAUGUGGAUUGUAAUUCGGGAAUGCCAAAGAACAUGGACAUUAGCUGAUGUAUUGUUGAUUUCUUCUGUGUGAUUGUGUUUUUUUUUGGACCCGUAAAUUUGUUAUAGCUGAGGUGAUUACAUAUCAUAUUGAUAUUUGAUUGAUUGAGAUGCAUCAUCAUCCUUUUUCAUUGAUAUUAUAUUGUGCACAUGUAUUGACAUGAGACUGAGUAUAAGUUAGGUACGUGGAGAUCAUCCGUGCCGGGGAUUGUGAGAUGUUAAGAUUAUAAUUUGAGUACGUGGAGAUCGUCCGUGCAGAAAUUGUUAGAUUUUAUGAUAGUGCGUUGAUAUCGUCCCGCACAGACACGUGGAGAUCGUCCGUAUCGGUAUAUGGAACUCGCGAGUUAGAUUUUAUGAUAGUGCGUUGAGAUUGUCUGCACAGACACGUGGAGAUCGUUCGUGUCGGUAUAUGGAACUUGCGAGUCCGCCAUGGGUCCGAUGUAUUUCCGAGGAUAUCAUGGAUAUGCAGUUCUUCUUCUUCUUCUUCGGUAUAUGGAACUCGCGAGUCCCCCAUGGGUCCGAUGUAUUUUUGAGGAUAUCAUGUAGAUACAGUUCUUCUUCUUCUUUUUCUUCCUCUUCUUCUUCCUGUUCUUCCUCUUCCUCUUCCUCUUAUGAGAGGAUUUUUGAGAGGGAAUUGGGUUUCUUCUGGGGAUUUAGAAACAAUGAUUUGGAAUGACUUAAUUAAGGGUCUAAAGUAUUUAUAUAGGUGGUCUAAAUUAGGGUAAAAUGACACCACUUAAUCCCUAAUUAAUUUCGAAAAGUUCCACUUACCCCUCACUUAACCGCCUAAGACCAACACAUUGCCUCACCCACAAGACCACGCCCACGGGUCGUGGCUGGACCCAUGGGGUGUGGUGGUCAAUCAUGAGUUGUGGUCUGUGGGUCUUCAUUUGGGCCCUUGACCCACAAAGCCAACCACAUGGCGUGGACCCAUCCACGAGGCGUGGGUCCUGCCCGUGGUUACUGCCCUAGGCAGAUUUCAGGAAGGGCUCACCCACGCUGCCCACUUACGGGCGUGGUUCCAUCCACGGGGCAUGGAUGGCCUCGUGGGUUGCACUGUUUUGGGCAGUUCUAGGGUCUUCCUCAAGGACCCUUGGUUGGUCCUUGGGGUCAUACCUUGACGUUCUAACACGAAACCCUAUAUUUUUAGGUACGGGGAGGUACAUUCAUGACUCUAACCCUCACGUCAAGCUCUAGUUUAGCUUACUAGUUUCUGGGGUGUUACACUAUCAAUCAUUAAUUUUACUCUAAUACCUCUUUCUCAAGCAAGCAUAGAGAGCUAAGCUAGAACCGAAUUUGCAACUUCAGUUCAUCAAUUAAAACACGAAAAAACAAUUGAACCCAUUUCCAAACAACAUUAAAUUCAGCAAUUAACAUCCAUAAGCUAAUUAAUGCAUUCGACUACAUGAUCACACCCCUUAGAUAAGGAUUUUUAGCCAAACAUAGCAAAAAGUGAGAAAUCGUUACCAAAAAGAUUGUCCAUCCAAAUUGUUAAAAAUCUGCAAUACUCAAUGCCCGAAUUAAAGCUAGAAUCCUAAAACCUCAAAUUCGAGAUCCAAAUGUUCUCCAAGGUGUUCAACAAUGUAAAAAAUGUAAAAGCUCUCAAAAUUUGGGGAAUACACACUUUAUUAGUCGGGAAUACACACUCAAAAACUUAGAAAUACACACUACUUGUAGACAUUCAUGUUGUCCUAAUCGAUUGGGUUUUACUUGAGGACAAGCAAAUGUUUAAGUUGGGAGUGUUGAUGAGUCGGGAAGUUCGACUCAUUUAGGGCUUAUUAUUCAAUGAAUUAGUGUCCUCAAUGCCUAUUUUGUGCUCAUAAGUGAUGUUAAUGUGUUUAUAAGCAACAAUGAAGGCUUAAAAACAAGACAAGGCCAUUAUGUUGUGAAAAGGAUCGAAAAAGUUGGAAAACCUGAAGAAAUAAGAAGUUGGAGCUCGCAAAAGCCACUCAACGACUUUUCGCGUGAGCCUCCUGCUCGCCAAAAUUUCCAGUGAAGUAGCUCAUGUACCAGGCCAACUUGGCGAGCAAAAGAUGAUUCGGCGUGUCGAAUGGAUCAGUGAUCACGACCCAGCUCGCCUAAUCUUCUAGAACAAUUUGAUGCAGGAACCAAGACACACUACAAGAAAAAGCUUUAUUUAAGACCAAUAUUUAUGGACGAGUCAAUAAUCCCGUCUCUAAAAGUAGAUGUAUUGGGACGAGAUUUUAUUUUGGUCUUUAAUUAUGUAUGUUUUUGUGAAGGUACUAAAUUUGGUCUCUAGAAAAAGUAGUAACUGGUCCCAAAUCAAAAUUUAGGGGUCUUGAGAAAUAUAUAUUGAAAGGCGGGAACUGAAAUGUAUAAAAAAAACAUCUUUUUUCACCAAAAUUAGGCGCCUAAAAGAUCAGUAAUACUGAUAGAUCAAAAUUCUAAAAGUAAAAGAAAAAAAGUGAUCGUGAAAUCAAAAACCCUAGCAAUGAUCUUCCCUAACAACAAUCUUCCCUUACAACGAUUUUUGGAAACGCACUGGUUUACCUAGCAAGAAACACAAUAUAGGUCUGUGUUUUCUCAGAACAGAGAAAGCAGAGGUCUGCGCAGCAGUGAUCUUCACUCAAUCACUAUCUUCUAUUCACUCGAAUCUCAGGUAUUCCUCCACUUCUAUGAGUUGAUUUGAUUUCAUCUGUGAAGUCGAUUAGUUUUUUGUAUUGUUCGAGUUAUAUCUCUUCUUUUUUAAACUCUUGUUCUGUUAGACUAGCUGCCGAUUGUUUUCUUAAAGAACAUGAAGUUUUGUAGUGUGAUAUGAUCCAAAAAAUGAAGGGGAUCAGUCCUUAAUGAAUUACGUUACAAUUUUGUUUGGGUCUGAAGCUGAUGAACUAUGUAAAACGCAAUAGAACUAAUGUAAAUUACCUCAUGUGGUGCUGCACAUUAAAGGUUGAAAGAGUGAUAACUUCGUUUGCAUCUGAAACUUGGGUUCUUUAAAGCUUCGUUUGCAUCUGAUGAAACUUGGACUCUUUAAAGGUUUAAAGGUUGAAAGAACUAAUGUAAAUGACUUCCUGUGGUGCUGCACAUUAAGUUAUAGUUUCGUUUAAAGCAUUCUUUCCUCUUUUUCUAGCUAGUUCUCUGAUUUCUCUCUACUUGUAUCUCAGCUACGCAUCCUCUUUUGCAAGUUUUUUUUUUCUGCUCAAAAUUUUAAUUGUUGAUUGUUUUCUUCCUAUAGCAUAGUGUAUAGUGUGUGCCUAAAGAAUUGAUCAUAUUUUUACGAUGAAAUUCAUUCAAGCUAAUGAAAGAUGAAGUAUGACAUAAAACUUAUGUAAAUUACCUCUUGUAUAUGAUGUACAUAGUAGGUAGAAACAACGAUAGUUUCAUUUAGGUUUCAAAACAUGGAAAACUUGAGAUUUUCAAGAAGAUAUGUUCUAGCAGUACCACCAUAUUUUUUCCAUUCUUGUAAAACUGAAUCACUAGUUGUUAUCUAUUUGUUCAAGUUUCACGUAAGCCUCCUCUUUUGGGACCUGCUUUUUUCUUCUUCUAUAUAUUUGAUUUGUUUGAGUUACACUACUUGUUUGAUUUCAUCUGUGAAGUCAGUUUGUUGUUUGUAUUGUUUGAUUUAUAUCUCUUCGUUUUUGAACUAUUGUUUUGUUAGACUAGCUGCUGAUCGUUUUCUUAAAGAACAUUAAGUUUUGUAGUGUGAUAUGAUCCCAAAAAUAAAGAGGAUCAGUCCUUAAAGAAUUAAGUUACAGUUUUGUUUGAGUCUGAAGUUGAUGAACUAUGUCAAAAGCAAUAGAACUAAUAUAAAUGACUUCCUGUGGUGCUGCACAUUAAAGGUUGAAAGAGUGAUAGCUUUGUUUGCAUCUGAAACUUUGAUUCUUUAGAGCUUCAUUUGCAUCUGAAACUUGGAUUCUUCAAAGCUUCGUUUGCAUCUGAUGAAACUUGGACUCUUUAGAGGUUGAAAGGCUGAAAGAACUAAUGUAAAUGACUUCCUGUGGUGCUGCACAUUAAGUUACAUUUUCGUUUAAAGCAUUCUUUCAUCUUUUUCUAUCUGGUUCUCUGAUUUCUGUUUACUUGUAUCUCAGCUAUGCAUCCUCUUUUGCUAGUUUUUUUUUCUACUAAAAAUUCGAAUUGUUGAUUGUUUUCUUCUUAUAGCAUAAUGUAUAGUGUGUGCCUAAAGAAUCGAUCAUAUUUUUACGAUGAAAUUCACUCGAGCUAAUGAAAGAUGAAGUAAGACAUAUAACUUAUGCAAAUUACCUCUUGUAUAUGGUGUACAUAGUAGGUAGAAAUAACGAUAGUUUCAUAUAGGAUUCAAAACUUGGAAAACUCGAGAUUUUCAAGAAGAUAUGUUCUAGCAGUAGCACCAUAUUUUUUCCGUUCUUGUAAAACUGAAUCUCUAGUUGUUCUCGAUUUGUUCAUGUUUCAUGUAAGCCUCUUCUUUUGGGACCUGAUUUUUUCUUCUUCUAUAUAUUUGAUUUGUUCGAGUUACACUACUUGUUUGAUUUCAUCUGUGAAGCCAGUUUGUUAUUUGUAUUGUUCGAGUUAUAUCUCUUCUUUUUUGAACUUUUGUUCUGUUAGGCUAGCUGCUGAUCAUUUUCUUAAAGAACAUUAAGUUUUGUAGUGUGAUAUGAUCCCAAAAAAGAAGGGGAUCAGUCCUUAAAGAAUUAAGUUACAGUUUCGUUUGGGUCUGAAGUUGAUGAACUAUGUCAAAAGCAAUAGAACUAAUAUAAAUGACUUCCUGUGGUGCUGCACAUUAAAGGUUGAAAGAGUGAUAGCUUCGUUUGCAUAUGAAACUUUGAUUCUUUAAAGCUUUGUUUGCAUCUGAUGAAACUUGAAUUCUUUAAAGGUUGAAACAACUAAUGUAAAUGACUUCUUGUGGUGCUACACAUUAAGUAAAAGUUUGUGGCAUGAUAAGAUCCCAAAACGAAGUUGAUCAAUCCUAAGAGAAACAAAUGUUCCUAAGGAAACAAAACAGUGAACUACUCUUAAAUAGAGGCACUCACAGGUCAUGCAUUAAGACAAUGUUCGGAGAGAAGAUAUAUGAAUUUUUAUUCGACUCAAGAAAUCUAUUCAGAAUUACAAGUGAACGAAUGUUUACCUUUUAAUACUAACAGAGCACACUGUAAAGUGUCUUCAGUUAUUAAAUCUGAUCCAAAUAUAUAGGCACGUGCAACUAAUUCUUAAAAAGAUUUCUAUCUAACUAAAAUAAAUUAGUAAUUGCAAAAGGCACCAUUGAAUUAUUAUCUACUGUAAAUGGAUCAUAUUUUAGUGUUUUGUGUGUGUCUAAGGAAUCGAUCAUAUUUUCUUACAAUAAAAUUAACUCGAACUCACAAAAGAUGUAUAAAGCAACAGAAUUGAUACAAAUUACCUCAUGUGGUGCUGUACAUAGAAGGUAGAAAUAGUGAUAAUUCCAUUUGAGUUUCAAACUUACCAAACUUGAUAUCUUUCAAGAGAUACAUUCUUAUAGUUGCACCAUAUAUUCGGUCAUUCCUAUCAAACUCAAUCACAACAAAUUUAUCAAAAAUUUAUAAAAAUAUAUUGUAAUUAACUUUUAGAAGGUUAAAGAUGCAACUGACUUCUUACAGUUAUACUUCAUGUGAUUCCAUAUAUAGAAGGUAGAUACAAUGACACUUCUCUUUGGGUCCUUGAGAAAGAGAACACGGAACCCAAAUCCCCUUGUUCUACUCAUCAAGUUAUGCAAGUCUCCCAAACAACUGAAACAUGUAUGACAAUUUACAAAUCCAUUCACUAUCAAUCUGUUGAACUAAAUUUUAUUGCUACAGUUCUUACUAAAUUAUAAAACUAUAGGAUCAUCUAAUCCAAGAAAUGUAAAAAGAGUGCGAGGGAGCAACAAGUGUAAAGAAGUUGCAUCACUUGAAGCUGAAAAGAGGCUGAAAGUAACAUUUUACAAUAAUAGAACAGUUGGAACAAAUAGCAAUCUGUUUUCAAGGCACCUGGGAAAAAUAAUUUGUGACUGUAAUAUGUGUCCAUUGGGAGUACCAUCGUGGAGGGACAUUAAGCAACAAAAGUUGGAUCACAUGUGGGCAGCUAUUGAGGUACAAUUACGAAUUACAUCAUCAUUAUAUUUAUAUUCAGCUUUUUUGUGCUCUGUUAAUUAUUACAUGAAUCUAAUCAACUAACCAAAAAGAUAAAAAGAAGGAUAUCUACUAAGAAGAUACAUUGGUGUAACUACCAUCUGGUGUUUAACUUGAUGAAUUAGAACUUACUAUUCUUAUAUUUCCAACAUUAACCGUUGUUGCACAUAUUUUUCUUUCUCAAUUUUAUACAUAGUUUUUGUAUAGUUGACGCACAAUAUUCACUCUCCUUUUGUAGGAUAAAUUUGAGAGUGUUGACUUCAAUGAUCAUCGUGAUCAUAUAUUUGGAUGGAUGAAUGAGUUAUGGAACAAAUGGAGAGGAUACUUGCAUGCUACUUAUGUGAAGAAUAAGCCAAUUGCUCAGGCUCUUAAUAAUAUUCCAAAGGGAGUAGAAAAGAAGAAAUGGGAGUGGUUAGUUAAGGAACAUUUUUCUUCUGAAAGUUUUCAGGUAUACCUAGAGAUCUAAUAGCCUAUAUCUUUCAAGUAUCCAUUUUGCAACUCAUCGUGAUAUUUAGAUGUGAAACUAUCUCUAAACUUGGUAAUAUUUCUUAGAUAUGGCUUUUUAACGUACCAAUACAGGCGAGGAGCAAUAGAAAUGCAGAAAAUUGAGCUAUGUUAAAGAUGUUUCAUCACAUUGGUAGCAAGCCUAUUAGAGAGAUUAUUUAUCAGCAGGUAUUAUCGAAAAAUAAUUUUCCUAAAUAAAACGUUUAAGAAGUUCUAUUUGCGGAUAGUCGUUUAAGCAUUUAGUGUAUAGCUAAACUCUUAGAUGAUUGAUCGUGUUUAAAGGAAUUUCUUCACUUCUGAGGUUCUUUGUUGGUGAUUUAUUUUUUCUCUUAGCUGGUGGCUGUUUGAUCACCUAUAUAAGUUAGUUUUGUUUAGUGAGCUUUAUCACUUUUGCUGGCAGGACAAAAAUCUAUGACUAACUCCCUUCCUGCAUAAGUUAGGUUGAUUCUUCCUAACAUUUUAUCAAGAAGUGGAUGAGACAUUCAAUAAUUCUAUAUAUGAAUCUUUAUACAUAAGACUGGGAUAGUGCUGAUUUGUUGAUAAACAGAGUUGUUUUAUACAUUAUGUUUCGAGUUAUUUUCAUGUUUGUGUCGUUUCUUUCUAGACAGAAAUUGGAAACUGAUUUGCAUUGAGUUUUAGCCGUUUAGCAGCUACAACCGUAGUAAUAGAUACCACAUAUGAAAUGCUUCAGUUGUUCCGAGUUAUUUUAAUGUUUGUGUCGUUUCUUCUCUAGAAAAAAAUUGAAAAACAGAUACGCAUUCAGUUUUAGCCUUUUAGAUGUCUUGGAAAUUGUUGCUUCUUGUGUGCUAGCAUAUAUAAGUUAUAGAACCAUUACACUUGACCAUAUACAAAAUCUCUCGACCCGUAUAGACACUCAACCAUAUAUAAGUUCUGCUUUGUCCACUAAGAAUAAGAAUACAAGAUAUAAAUGGCAGGAAAGAAGUAACAACGCAUUGUAGCCUCAAAGUAACAACAUCCUAGCCAUAUACAAAAUGUCUCUCCCCCUAUAAGACUUAUCCUUUAUGAAUAGGCCUUUAUCGAUGCAAGAAGAACUUUGACAUCACUCUCAGGGUUAUUAAGAUAAUUUUUUGAUAUCUUUUGCUGUUGUACAUCAUGUUUUCCAUCCAUAUACAGAAUAUCUCAGCAUAAAGUCUAGCAAAACAGAGAUUUGAGUUGCACCUUCAUCUGGUUUAGAGGAUCAAGUAACUAGCUAAACCUGUAUCAUUAGAAUUGCUUAACAGAUCAUUGCCUUCUUUAUCUCUAUUUUUUAAUUUUCUACACGUACAAUUGCAGGCACACAGUUUGAGAUUGUUUGGCUUCUACAAGGAUUAAUGAUGAGAAGAAAAAAGUGAUAACUUGUUUGUUUCCCCUGCUACAAUAAUAACCUACUGGUUUAUAGCUGAAACAGUGAUAUACAUCAUACGUGUUUAGUUACUCUGCAACAACUUCUUUCCCCUAAAACCUAAUAUAAAUCUUCUUGGUGGAGAAUUUCUCCAUUUGUGCUAGCUUAUGUCACUGAAUUUGUGCUUUCGGUAUAGAUUUGGAUUCUUGGUGAAUGCAUCUCAUCAAAGUUUUCUUAAUCAAUUUUUCUUAUGUUGUUGCAGCUUGUUGAUAUUCUGGAUAUCCCUUGGUUAAUUUUAGAGUUCUUUUGUGAAGAAUGAAGCUCAAGUCAAGAUGCAAGUUUAGAAGAUGCACACGACCAUUAUUAUUUUGCUAGGAAAGUUGUGCAAGACAUGAAAUCAUAGUCUAGCUCGGGAUAUUGUUAAUUUGCUAAGAUUUUUUUUGUCAAACAAAUAUUGAAACUAACACCAUGGGAUAUUUACCUAUUUUUAUAUUUAUAUCAGCCUUUUCUCUAGAGAUUUACCAUAGCAAUCUUAUAUUUAUUGGUAGAACUUAUAAUACUUUUGUGAAAUGAGGAUCCAGAAUCAAUGGUGGACAAUUAGAGACCAAAAUUUUUGCUCGUCUCUAAAAGUUCAUCUAAGAUGAGAUAGUUUCUUGUCUCUAAAAGUUUCAUCUAGGAUGAGACAACUUCUUGUCCCUAGAGGCUCAUCUAGGACGAGGUGUUGCUUGUCUCGAAAAACAAUCUAGGACGACGUGGUUGCUUGUCAAGAAAAAGUAAUCUAGGAUGGGGUAGUUGAUCGUCCCUAAAGAGUAAUCUAGGACGAGUUAGUUUCUAGUCUCUACAGGGUUUAGUGACCAGAAAAUGACUAGUUUUUAAGGAAGAAAAUCAUCUAUUUGGGACGAGAUAUGUAGUCUUUAAAAGUACUUUGGUGACCAGCUUUGAUUCCGUCCCUAAGCACAUUUAGCGACCAGUUAAUGGAACCCGUCCCAAUUAACCUUUAGCGAAGAAGCAUUUUAGGACGGGUGGCGACCAGCCUUUUCCCGUCUCAAAAGACAAUUUGGGACCAGAUUUGGACAUUCUAGGACCAGAUUUCCCUUCCUUAGAGACUGUUUUUCUUGUAGUGACAAUAAGCUGAGAAGAAGUGCAACUCGGUAGAUCGUCGAGUCGAUCGAUGAUACCGAAAAAUGAAUUUAUACGUUCCCAAAAACUCAGCAUGGAAUCCACUCGGUGAAGCUAGUCGGGAUCACCGAUUGACUCGGCGAUCCGUCGAGUUGCACUUCUUCUCGCCUUAUUGUCUUGGCUCCUGCAUCCAAUUGUUCUGGAAUAUUAGGCGAGUCGGGUCAUGAUCACCGAUCCAUUCGGCACAUCAAUGAAUCUUCUUUUGCUCGCCAAGUUGGCUUUGUACAUGGGCUACUUCGCUGGAAAUUUUGUCGAGCUGGAGGCUUACUUGGCAAGUCGUCGAGUGGCUUUUGCGAGCUCCAUCUUUUCUUUUCUUCAGCUUUUCUAACUUUUUCGCUCCUUUUCGCAACAUAAUGACCUUGCAUUGUUCUUAAGCCUUCAUUGAUACAUAUAAACACAUUAACAUCAGUUAUGAGCACAAAAUAGGCCUUGAGGACACUAGUUCAUUGAAUAAUAAUUCCUAAAUGAGUUGAACUUCCCGACUCAUAAACACCCCCAACUUAAACUUUUGUUUAUCCUCAAGUAAAACAAAAGAUUGAUCAGGCCAAUAUGGAUGUCUACAAGUAGUGCUCUUGGGACUCAACAUGAAUGCACACAAGGUUCAAUCUACACAUGCACUGUUCAAUUGUGCACUGAAAGUUUCAAACCAUGACUAACACUCAUCAAAUAGAGUUCAAGCUCGCAAUGCUCACUUCAAAUGCAACUGCAUGCUCAACAAGAGUGUUCAAAUGUCUUCACAUCAACAAUGAUUUCACGCUUUCACAAAGCCAAUCAAAGAUUACGAUUAAGGAAUCAAAAUCAAUUCUCACACUCCCAAUGAGAAAAACGUGCACGAUUUUACCCAUAGGCCUUCCCAUAUUUUCCAACCAACACAUCAUUCGGCUCAUGCAAGAUCAAAAAGGUCUUUCAAGGCUUGUAAUUGGGCUGAGGGUACGAGUAUGAUCAUUUUGGCUUAGUGGCUUCUACCUUCACGAAGCAUGGCUCAAAUUUCACUUGUUCUCCUUUUCUUUCAUUCUUUUCACCUUCACAGCUCAUCCUUGGCAUAUUCAAAGCACACGAAAUUUUUGGUAUCGAUUAUUAGACACCCCUUUUAUUUCCACAACAUUACACACUUCAAAUUUUAUCAUUUCUUUGCUUUUUUUUCAUUUUUUUUAAAUGGAGAGGUUCCAUCAUUUUUAUACACAUUCCUUCAAGGAGGAAUUUUCAUGAACUUCUUGCUCUAUUUUCUUCCUUAUUCUUACCACACUCCCGACUUAGGCUUUUUGCCAAAGUUGGCUAUUCAAACAAACUAAUGCUUCAUGAAGGUUUUAGGUGGAGAGGAUAAGGUCAUUUGCGUUCAUGUUUCAUCCAAAAAAAGGUUAGUCUCAAAUGGUGCCAAGCUAGGUUCACACACUCACAAGGUUGUCACACAAAGGUAUAGCAAUUAGGUUCACUCUAAAUUUUUUAUGCAUAAGAUCAUUUCCUCCAUUCACCAAAAUUAGUCAAUCGGACCAACGGAGCAAGUUCUAGAUAACAUUGAUGUGAGGCCAAAAUACAUAUUUUUAAUCAUUAUUUGCCUCAUAUUUAGUAUUUAUAUUUGUCCUUUUUGAGUAUGAAUUUUAUGGAUUGUGCUUUAUAGUAUAUUUUAUUUGUAGGAUUAAAUUGGUGGAAAAUGAAGAAGUUUGGAGCUAAAACCAAUUAAAGAUGGAAGGUUAAAGAAGAAAAUCAAACAGGCAGCUUAAUGGAUUAAAUUAAAUAUAAUAAUAAUAAUAAUAUAUAUAUAUAUAAGUGCAGCGAAGAGAAAUUCACUCAGUAUAACACUGCUGCCACGUGGCAACCAGUAAAGGCAGCAGCAACCCAUGGCAGCGCAACACUGUUUCACACGGAAUUAAAUUCCUUUUAGGUUUUGGGUUCCUAAUUUAUUUUGGACUCAAUUAUUUUAUUCAGAGUUUUCUAUAUUUAUAAAUAGUCCAUAAGAAUAAUUAUUAAUUUAUUAAGGGAGGAUGAUACAAUAUAGAAAAUAAUUUUUGAUUUAGGGUUUUAUCUUUUCUUCUCUUUUAUUUAUUUUACAUCUUUUCUUGGAAUAAUUCGUUGUAAUUGCUCUAUAUCUAUGUGGAGUUAAACUUCUCGUUCUUGGAUUAUAUUUUCUUACAAAAUGAUUGUUUAGUAAUUUUGAUUCUGCAUAAUUGUUUAUCAUAUUGGUUGUUCUAGUCUUGUGGUUACUAUUUCCAUGCUUGAUCAUAGAGAUAAAUAUAUUGUCUACUCUUGAACUUGGGAGAGGAAUGGAGGGAUAGAAUGUGGAAUAUAAGGAGCAUAAUCUUUUCUUGCAUAUCACUUGAAUUGAUUUGUGUCUAGGAUAGGGAUAUACCUAGGUACCUUGCUUGGCUCAUACGGAAAGACAACGUAAUGCUCCAUAGUUGGUUCAGUCUAUCCCCGCUCAACGAUGUAGUUAGACUGUCAAUUGUGGUAGACGGUUAGAGGUCGGGAGAUCAUGACUAUAUUAUCAACCCCGUGAAUCAAUAACUAGAUAAUAAAAUAAGUUGAUGAAAUUGAUGCUAAGCAUGAUUGUUAGUUAAAUCAUAAUCCUAGAUCGAUUCAUUCAUUGAUUGUGUAAACAUCAAUUUUUUCUUAGUUAAUUACUUUUUAGUUAUUUUAUCUUUAUUUUUAGUUUAGUUAAUAUAUAUUCGUCUUUUGAAAUCCUCCCUUAAAUAAAUAAUUAAUAUAAUUAAUAAGAAUAAUUAAUUGACAAGUCCUUUGGGUUCGAUAAUCCGAUUCUUUUAAGAGCCACUAUAUUACUUGCACGACACGUACACUUACGUGUGCAAUUGGUAGCAACAAGUUUUUGGCGCCGCUGCCGGGGACUUAGAAUUAAUUGUUUUUCUAGGUUAAACUUUUUCUUUUUAUUUAUUUAAGUUUUUUAUAGAAAAAAAAAACAAAAAGAAAAAAAAAAUUCUUAUGUUAUACUUUUUUAUUAGUGUCACUUUUUUUCUUUCGAUCUUGUUUUUGUAGAUGAGGGGAAAUCUAAGUACCCAAGAAUUUGAAGCAAAGUAGCAUGUUUGAGCUUAAGUGUGGGGUGCGUACGACCCUUGAUGGAAAAAAAAAGAUUGAAGAGAACAUGCAACUAUCUAGGCCUAGAGGCCUCAGGGAGUUCUUUCUUUCAUUCUUAGCUUGUGUAUUGAAUUGUUGCACUGGGGACAGUGCCAUGUUUUAAGUGUGGGUGGGGGAAUGAAUUCCUUGUUUUUACUGCUUUAUUGAGUCUUUUCAUUUUUUUAGGAUGGGUUCCUUGGCUUUUGUUUUCGGUUCUUUUUCUGAGGAUAGUCCUUUUGAACCGAGUGUCUUUUAUUUUUUAGGAAUAAGUUUUCUUUUAAUUUAUUUUUUUGAGAGAAAAGAAAAGACCCUUUUGAUGGUGUGAUACUUGCUAUUUAGGACUAAUUUUUGAGUAGUACUUUCUUGGGAAUGCUUGAUUGAUAAGGAAAUUGCAGACUCUUUAACACCUAAACUCAUGGUUGUGACUUUGUAUAUAGCUUAUUUUAUUUUGUAGUUUGUUAUGAUUCUUUCUCUCUUAGAAGUGGAAUUGAUCCAUCUUGAUUGAUACUUGUGCCAUGUGUGGAGAGAAUUUGUAUUUUCUAUGUUUUAUAUCUUAAUCUAGAACUUUCCCUGCAUGUUAUUGAAGAGAAAUAAAAAGUGUUGCUUUGUUUAGGAGAUCAUAAUAGGCUUUCUUUGUUUUGUCUUGUAACUUUUAGCCUUUUUAGAUACAUAUCACUAGUAGCCCCUUUGAGCCUGUAGUUUUUUAUCGGUAGCCAUAUUUUUGCCUUGACUUUUUGUUGGAAUCCCUAGUUUUUGCACCCUGCUUCCUUGAGCACUGUAGCAGACUUAUUAUAUUUGUUAAAUCUGAAGAAAAAUGGAUGGUUGAGUGAAAAAAGUAAUCAAUGAUAGCUACAAAGUGAUUAAAAAGCCCUCUUUGAAAGAAUGUGACAUGAAAAAGAAAAAAGAAAAAAAAAGAGAAAAACAAAAUUAAAAAAAAAAUAUUCUUUGGAAAAAAAAUGAUUGAAGCAAAAAAAACGCUCUCUUCUCUCUUAUGCAAACCCUAACCCAAAUCUCCCAGCAACACCUAUGGCCACUCCGGCCACUGGCAAGUCGUCUUUGGCGACUGGUCAGACAGUCCCUUUAACGUUCAAUGAACACUUCCCCAACCUUACUCAUAUAACACGUCUAUCCAAUCCCAAUUGUGGCAUUAAGGAUCCUAAUACUCUGCCUAGCGAACAUGUCGUGCAUAAUGAUGAUACAAUCAGAUUUAAGGAAGGAGAGUAUGCAGCUUUGGUAAAACCUAGUGGUAUGAAUGCAGUUGAUUCAAACAAAGGACUACCAGCAGUACCUUUGAAAAAACCUACGUUUAACAAUGGUAUUCCUCGGGUUACUUGGAAAGAGGAAGAAGUAACACGUAUGAACAUUAUGGAGAAUCUACAAUAUGCUGUGAUAGGAAAGUUCUCUUAUGGGUGGUCUGAGCUAGAUGAGUUGAGAAGGAUUAUCCCUAAACAAUGCAAUAUAAAAGGAGCAUGUCAAAUAGGUUUGCUGCGACUUAGGCAUGUUUUGAUGAUAUUCGAAUUGUUUGAAGACUUUGUGAACAUGAUGUCCAAACCUUCCUAUUACAUUACUGAUAAUGCAGGAUUAUACUAUCCAAUGGGACCCUUGAUUUAUGAUGAGAAGUUCAGAGUUGAUGAAGAAAAAUCAUAGGCUAUGGCAUGGAAAUCCUUCCCUGAUCUUUGGCUUAUUUUUUUUUGGGAGAGAACCUAUUUUUUCAUUUGCAUCAGCAGUGGGUAAACCAAUUCAGUUAGAGACAGCUACUAUCAACAAAACUAGACCUAGUUGUGCUAGGGUUUAAGUCCAACUAGACUUAAGUUAGGUGAUCUUCCUAAGUUUGUGGAAUUGGAGAUUGAGAAUGAAGAGAAAACCUCGUCAAGGGUGGAAAAGGUGAAAGUGGUUUAUGAUAUGCUCCCUAAAUAUUGUAAAAGAUGCAAAUUACAAGGACAUAAUGAGGAAGAAUGUAGAAUCCUACAUCCUGAAUUGAGAAAGCAAGAACAUAAUGCAAAUAUGGAAUUGAAGGACAAAGAAUUGAGCAAACCAUCAAGGUUCCUUAAAAAACAAUGGAACCCUACUAAUAGAAGAUUCAUCAGAAACACUGAUAAGGAGGUUACUACUGCAGGCAUGGAACUAGAGACGGAUGUUAUUGUGAGUAACAACUCAUUUACUGCUCUUAAUGAAGAACAAGAUGAAGGAGAAAAAAAUAAAGGGGAGGGCGGGGGGGGGGGGGGGGAAAUGAAUACAAAAGAAUGGAUUACAAAUUCUUUCUACAAAAAUACAAACACAGUAGGUGAUCAAGCUAUAAAUAACAGUGCAACAAAUAUCAUGGCAGGGGUGAUGAAGUCCAACAAUGUGCUGCCUUCUCAAGAGCCUGAGGAUCAAGAUAAAGCUCUGGUUAUUCAUACACACCUGCAGAAUACAGAGAAGGUCAACAAUGAUAAUGAAGAUCAACUUGAUGAAUGUAUACAAAGGAAUGUAGUAAGUGAGGAACAAAUUAAUAUUACUGAAACAUGUUUUCAGGAAGCUGGGGCUUUGGAUAAAGCAUUAGUAAUUCACAAGGACCAUCAGGUCUUACAUGGGGACAUGUUAGGAGGACAUGAUGAUGUGGUUUUAGAUAUGGUGGAGUUUGAGGAGGAUCCUCUUCUGUGUUCUGAGGAGGUAGGUAACAUGUGCAGUUCAGCCAAUAGAGAGAAGCUCCUUACAGGUUGCUCACUUGGCAGUCAAGAGCAAAUGCACAAUGUUAGGAGUGUAAGAGAAGUUCAUAAUGCAGUAGUCAAUUUUUCAGGGGCAAUCAAACAAAGUUCUCCUAUUAAAGAAUUACAUGGCUUGGUUUCUCAUAAAACAACAUAUAAAGAAAGCAAAAUGGUCUAGUGAUAGACAGGGAUGAAGUUGAAAAUCAAAGUGAUCAUGCACAAGUUAUAAAUAAUGCAGGAGGUUCCCCUCAAGGGAAAUCAAAGAAGAAGAAGAGUAAGCCUCAAGGGGAAAAGUCUACUAGGACUAACCCUAUGUGGUCUGAUAGAGCUAUGUUGAAAUGAUCUUUAUAGCAUUAAUAUGGAAUAUUAGAUCAGUUAGAUCUAAUCAUUCUUUCCAUAGAGUAUAAAUGCUUCAUAGACAUCAUAAAUUUGAUUUGGUUGCCUUAAUGGAACCUUUUCAAGAGAUUAGGAAGAUUCAACAGUUUAAAAGGAGAUUAGGCAUGGCCUAUGCAAAUUAUAACAUCAAUGGGAAGAUUUGGUUGUUUGUCAAGGAGGAUAUUCAGGUGAACGUUGUUUCUGAUUCUGAACAACAAUUGACUAUUGAAAUGCUAUUCCCUAGUGGGCAUCAGAUGGUCAAUACUCUUGUCUAUGCUAAAUGUACAGCUGCUGAAAGACUUCCAUUGUGGGAGGAUAUGUAUGCAAUUGGGCAAAAUAUGAAUUUCCCCUGGUUUGUUGGAGGGGACUUUAAUGUUAUUAUGGAUGCAGAAGAAAAGAUAGGUGGUCUACCUGUCUAUCCAAAUGAGGUGGAGGAUGUGCUUUUUGUAUCAAUUUUUGUGAACUAUUUGAUAUUAAAUUCAAAGGUAGCCCUUUCACUUGGUGGAAUGGGAGGUCUGAUGGUGAAUAUAUUUUUAAAAGAUAGGUGGUCUACCAGUCUAUCCCACUACACUAUUUAACAGUUUAUUUUAAAGGUAUAUAUGUGCCCACGUGGACACGUUACUAUUUAUAAUUAUAAAAUGUUUAUGAUGUCCACGUGAGCACAUAUAUAUACCUUUAAAAUACACUAUUAAAUAGCUUAGGGGGGUAAAAGGUCCUUUUCAAAGUUUGGUAUCGUUACAACAAUUUCGGUCAAAGUUUUGAUAUAUUUCAGACCUUUUUCCCUAUUUUUUUAGAAGAUCUCAAAUAAUUCCCCUUCAUUUUUUAGAAAAAAAUAAUUAAAUAUGAACAAUUAAUGUGAAAACCAAAUGAACAAAAAUAUGAUUCAAAAUAAAUAAGAAUACAUUUAAGCAAAUGAAUCUAUAUUGAGUCGUAAUUUUCAAAUUAAACUAACAAAAAUUUUACAUUUCAUUUUACCCUUGAACUUUGCGAAACAAAUCAAAUGUACCCUAUGUGAAUUGUAUUCUUAUAGUAAUAAUUAAAAAAAUUAAAUUAAGUUUUCACUUUUGUCAGCCUAAAGAGAUAUAUUUGAGUCAUUUUUUAAUAAUAAGGAUAUAUGUAAGCCGUUAUUUUUAAACCAAAUGGUAUAUCAAUUUUAAAUUUCAAGGUUAAAAAAUAAUUAGACCCUUGUUUCUUUAUUAUUAUUAUUGUUUUAUUUUUUAAAUUCUUAUUGUUAUUAUCAAGGCCUAAACCCUAAACCACGCUUGGAGUAUUUCUCAGGCUUUCACCUUUGAGGUUUUCUGAGGCUAUGAAUGAGGAUGCCCACGUGUUUUUGACUACUUGCCGGGAGCAGCUUUAUACAUUUGGGACUGGUGGAGUCGAGAGAAGCCAACUUCACUACUUAUCAGUUAGAUGGGCCAACCAUACAGUCUUGACAUACCUUCAUUCAAACUAGACCAGUUCAUUCCCUUUGGUCAGGUCACUUGGACCGAGUUUUUUUAGGCCUUUUUGGCUAGGUUCAUUCCUUGCAGUGUUAGAGAAAUCACCUCUGGGAUCAUUUCUCUAGGCUGGAGCAGGCUCUCCAUGAUUGUGUUAGAGUAUAAGGCAAGGUUCCACGAGCUCUCUCGCCAUGCCAUUAUGAUUUUACCUAUUGAGGACAAGGAGAGAGUUUGAUGUUGUAUGUGGAUUGAGGUUCCAGCUACGGAUUGAGCCUCAAUCUAUGAUCUCUGGUAUUGUUCCUUUUUGGAGAUUGUCGAUCACGCCCUCACUAUUGAGCAGCGUGAGGCCCAAGGGGGCAGCGACAAGAGAGCUAGAUACGAGGGCAGCUACAACAGAUCAUGUUCCAGGUCCAGAGACACAUAUGAUAGGAUUCUACAGUCACGUAGGCCUAUCUAGGCCUCAUUAAAGAUUUCAAAGGGUGACUGGUAUAGCCGGAGUGAGGUCGGCUCCAGUCAGAGACAUGAGUCCCAUUCUUGUGCUUCAGACUGUGGUGGACGUUCUUCUAGGAGUCGAUCAUCCCCAAGUUAUUUUGAUUGUGGAGAGUUGGAUCACUGGGACAUAUAUUACCCUUUGCGUAGGCAGAUUACUUUUGCUCCACAGGUAGCUCCACCAGUAGCACCUACAACUAGGGUUGAGGUCAGUGUAAACACCUAAGUUUAAACUGAACCCAAGAUUUUACACCAUUUUAUUACUUAAAUGAUUUCUUGUAGGUUAAAAUUUAAUUAUCUAAAGUUUUACUUCUUCCUAGUGAAUUUAUUUUAAAUUGUUGAAAACUACAAAAUAGAAUCCCUUUUAAGGAUACAUUUGUUUUUAAUAUUAUUAUUAUUAUUUUAAAAGAAAGAAAACCUACCAAUAUAUAUACACGUCUUUCAAUUAAAUAUUAUAGUCAGUUAAUACUUUUAAUUGAUUUUAAAAUUUAUUACUUUAAGAAGAAAAUAAAGAAGAAGAACAAAAAGAAAGAAAAAAAAAGAACAUACAAAAAGAACAAUUUUUUUUUUAAAAAGGGAAAAAGUAAUAAAGGGGAAAAGAGGAAGAAACCAAAACGUGUAAAAUAAUAAAGAAAAAAAAUAAAACAAAAUGUUCAGUAAAAGAAGGGAAAAAAUGCAAAAAAUAAAAAAUGAGAAAAGAAAGAAAAAGAUAAAAGGGAAAAAUCUUUCUAAAAAAUAGUCCUAAUCCCUUUAGAAUUUUCAUACAAAACUAAUCCCAAAUUCCAUAAAAAUUUAUCUCCAAUUUUAAAUCCAACUCAAAAGACAAUCCUAAAAUUACUCAAACUCUAAAAUCUCACUCCUACACAAUCCCUAAAUUUUAGCAACUAGAUGCCUAUAUAUACUCUACCCACAAGACAAUUCAAGAGACAAAUUCAAAUACAACAAACACGCAUAAACCACAACAACAAAAAAAAUCUUCCUUUAUUUACCUUUUUUUAAAAGAAAAGAAUUUGAGAAUUAGUGAUAUCAAGUUUGAGUCCUUGUUUGAGUUUUCAUGUGCGGUUCUUGAUUCAAGAAAAUAUCUACGAAAGUUCAAGAUUAAAAUUUGUUAAGGUCCAUCUCAUGACCUUACUCUAUUUUGUUUGAACUAAGUUGCAUGCUCAUACAUAAUAUUUUUUUAGUAUAUAAUAUAUGAUCGCUUGACCUUCGUGGAGGAGCAAGUUGCCAUUCUUGCCAGGUGUGACACUUGCACUUGAGAGCCAUUCCUAUGGUUAAGGUCCGUUGGAGGCAUCGUCCAAUUGAGGAGGCUACCUGGGAGAUCGAGCACGAUAUGCGGGAGCAGUUUCUUGGCUUUUUGAGCCUUCUAGUACUUCUUGACUCUUAGUUUCGCGGACUACCAAUGUUGUAAUGACCUUCAGGUCAUUUUUGUGUUUACGACUCAUGUUCGCCGUUUAGAGCAUUCUUGUAGCGACCCCAAGUCAUUUAUGACUUGCUGGGACUGAUAGUUUGGUCACCUGGUCGUUCGCUUAUUUUUUAUCUGAGUUUUAGUCAGUGUUAUGAAAGGCGCUCGCCAUUUCGCCAAAGGCGAGAGGCGAGGCGAGGCCUCAUCGCCUAUUAUAGGAGCGGCGAUGCGAUUUCAGAAAGACGAGAAAUGGCGAUAGAAAGGCGAGAGGCGAUAUGGCAAGGCGGGGCACCAUGCGUCGCCUGUUUGUUUUUUUUUGUUUUUAAAAAGGUCAGAUUUAAUAAUUAAAAGGUAAAAUUAGGGUUUUUUUUUGGUGUUUUUGCAAACCUGGGCUCCUCUUCUCUUUAUUGUGACUUGCACGAUCUCUUCUCCUCUUCCAUCGCGACUCUCUAGCCUUCGAGAGGACGAGACCUUCGCUGCUACUCAGUCCUCUGCGUCGCGAGUCGCGACUCUCAGGUACAAUCUUCUUUUUUUUUUUCCUUCUUUAGUUGUUCUCUUGUUCUCUACUCUGUUUUUCAAACAGUGGUGCAUGGCUCCGUUUUUCUUUUUCAAUUUGUAGCUAAUGAACUGACUGCCAUUCUGUUUCUGCCUAUAUUAUUUUUAAAAAAAAAUUCAAUCCUUCUAUAUUUAUUUUUUCACUACUCAAUUUAGUUUUAUAUUUAUUUUUUCACUAUUCAAUUUAGUUUUAUACUAAUUAAUGUAAUAUUUGUUUGUCCAUAAAUAGUGAAUUCAACGACGUCUGAUGGUAACAAAAAGGACAUUGGUGUAUUGCGCCUCAAUUGUCUUAUGAAUUAUUGAGUCAUUCAAGUUCUAGACUUUUAACAUCUACUAUUAAUUUUACAAUUGAAAUAUGCUAAUGAAUGUUAUUGCUAUUGAAAUUUUGGAUAUUUAUAUAUGCCCUUGUCGCCUUUCGCCGUCCAAAACACUGGUUUUAAUGUUUUGGAGCUUUUGAACCUUGAACGGUCAGUUUUGAUCAAAAUUCAAGAAGAUGACCUCACAAUCCAAUUUUGACGAUUCCAUCACCUCUGAAAGGGUCAUUUUAGGUUAGUAGCAUGGUCGGCAUGAAUUUUGAAGCUUUCCGUGGGAGUCUGUGCGAUUAGGCAUUUUAACUUUCAAGUUAAGACUUAAGUUUGACUUUAGUUAACAUUCUGAGUAAACGAGUUCGGAUGAGAAUUCUUUCAAUGCGGUUAGCUCUGAAAUGUUGAAUUUGGACUAGAACAGCCUUUCAUUUGGAUCCCGAGGUUUCCAGGCAUAUUCCGAACCCCCUUGUGGAUUUUGGCUUAAAAUGGAGUUUGGGUGUGGGACCCACUUUUUGCUGAGAUAACCUCGUAUGGGAUUUUCGACUGCUCGAUUGAGUCCGGAAUAUCAAAUUUUGGUAGGGUUGCAUAUUUCGUUUGCAUGCAGGGGGAUUCAAAUAAAUUCAGAGUUUAAGCAAACUAGCUGAAGUGUUGAUAUCUGGUGCAAGCUUUUAGCGACCAAAAUUGGACUUUUAGCGACCAGAUCAAGGAUAUUUAUAUUGCGAACUUGCAGCCUUAUUUUUUAUUUUCAAAAGGCGAUUUCCCCUCAUUCGAGCUCCAGAUUGAGUGAUUCAUAGUCUUGUGUGACCGUUAAGAGCGUGGCUACUUGAGUUUCUGACUAGAAUCUGUUGAGGAACCUCAUCGCUUCCUCAUUUCUUGAUUUUUUUUUUCCCUAUAAAGAAACUCUCUCUAAAAAAUUCUCUUUGAAGGAGACACACUACCAGUUCUGCCGGAAUGGCUGCAUAACCGCCGGUGGAGCCUUGCCGACCGCCAGACCUAUGACAAAAGAUGGACAACAGCACCACGCACAAAACCCAACUGGAAUCACCUGCUAAUUCCUUUCCUAGCUCUAUGAAUCUGAGAAAUAGUGUCGCAAUCCUUGUUCAAGUUUCGAAAGAAGAGAUACUUUGGGCACAAAAAAAUAUUUCCAUGUCGCAAGCUGGGUUGAUUCAUCUAGUUACGAUAGAUGGAGAUGAAUUCCCCCAUAAGGAUCUACAUACAAAGAUUCAGCCAAUUCCACCUUGCCAAUCCCGAGUUCUAGCAUAGCGAUUUCGGGGGAAAUGCGAUGGAAUCGCCUGAGCUGCGCACUAGAUUUCGAACUGAUUCCAAGGGGAUAAACAACAAAUUAAGCACAAGGGAGGAUUCACCAGGUCAAGGCGCAUCUAAAGAUGUAAUGGUAGCCAAUUGCAACGGCGAUGAAAGUCUCACCGGAAUUUUUGUUGAAGAUGUCGGAGCUCCAGUGAGCCAAGAGUUUCAAACCCAACAUCAAAAUGAUCAGGAAAGGGAGAUACACCACCCCACCUCUAAAAUCUCAAGUGUGGAUGCAUUCUACGAAUCAAACAAGGGGAUCAUAAUCCCUGAAGAACAAUAAAGGACAAAUUUGGACAAGGAAGUUCAGGUCACCGAGCUAAAUGAUUCACAUAGUGAUAUGAGACAGCUAAAUGAUCAAAAUAGGAAUUCUAAUAGAGAACAAAUUGAGGAAGCUCAAAGCUUCUCAAAAUUUUCCUUUAGAGUAGCUAAACGUGAUCUUGCAGAUAAAGAAGCACCUCGAGGGAGUCAACAUGGUAAGAACAGUGAGGGGAACAAUGAAGAACAAGGCUGGAAUCAACAAAAGGAAAAUAAGUUUCCCUCCACCCCUGUUCAGCAAAUGCGUAGCAACCAAGAAAUCUGAGCUUGUCCCUGAACCUGAUCCAUUUACAGUCGUUCAGUCUUAUGCUACCAGGUUAAGAGCCAACCAAGCCAAGAAUGAAGUUCCCAUUGAGCUAUCUAUCCCUAAAAUCAUAACUAGACAAGGUCUUCCUGCAGUUAUCAUCAAAAAGGAAGAUUACAUGGUAAAUCUAGAAGCUAGAUAUAGAUUUACUUUAGUGGGAAAAUUCACCAACACUAUGCCUAAAAUUGAGCUUAUUCGCAAAAGCUUCAUCCUCCAAACUCAAUUAACUGGAGGAGUCAAGAUAGCUCAUUUCAAUGCAAGGCACAUUUAUAUUGAUCUUGAUAAUGAGGAGGACCAUGUCUCUGUAUGGAACAAACAGAAAAUGUAAAUUGAAAGGCAACUAAUGAGACUGCAAGUCUGGACUCCUACCUUUACUCUGGAAGAAGAAACUCCCAUUGUUCCUGUAUGGAUUACACUUCCUGAGUUGCCUUGGCAUUAAUAUAACAAGGAAUUUAUCACAGCCUUAGUAUCUCCUAUUGGUAAGACCUUAUACUUAUAUGCAACAUCUCUCCAGAAAACUAGAGGAAAUGUCGCAAAAGUAAGAUUACAAAUGGAUGUUACCAAGGAAAGACCCCCCCCCCCNNNNNNNNNNNNNNNNNNNNNNNNNNNNNNNNNNNNNNNNNNNNNNNNNNNNNNNNNNNNNNNNNNNNGCACAACAUUGGGUGUUACCAAAGGAAACCCCCCCCCCCCCCCAAUGUUUGGAUGGGAUUUGAUGAAGAGGACUUCACUAUUGGGAAAUGGCAAGCUAUUCAAUAUGAGGGACACCCUGAUUGUUGUUCCUAUUGCAAACAUUAAGGCCACUUGCUCCAUGUGUGCAAAAUCAAGCUAGGGGAUGAAGACAAUAAGAGGAGAAAAGAAGCUGAAGCUGAAAACAAAACCAAAAACAAAAGAGCUGAUCCAACCACUAAUCAGGUAUCUUCUAAUCUAAAUGAUACUCAAUUAAUGCUAAUCUAGCCUGUACUAGUAAUGAAGGUGCCAAGGACAACCAUCAGCAAUUGAAUAAAAAUAUGAAGAACAACAAAUUGAGGACUGGCAAACUCAAAGAAGAAAACUUAAAAAUCAAGCCAAAAAAUGAUCUACAGAACAAGGUUGAUAAACCUAUUUCUCUAAGAUAUUAGCAAAAUAAUGACCUGUAAACUCACAACGUUUCACAAUCAGGUAUUGAGUCAAUGCUCCCCCAACUCCAACUCCUUAAUCAACAGCAAAUCAAGCAUUGCAAGGACCAGGUAUUGACUCAAUGCUCCAACAACCCCAACACCCCCAACACCCCCAUAGUAAUGCUUUUGUUGUAAUAACUGAUUCUGAAGUUUUGGGAGGUGAAGAUGGGGGAUUGAAGGAGAACAUCACUAACCUGAAGGAAGGGGAUCCAAAGAGGAGGGAUUUGUCUCGUGUUCUGCAUGAGAACCUUAGUGCCCCCGCUACCACAGUUCAGUGUCCAAUCAAUGUGAUAGAUUGAGUCUUUAUUAUAUCAGAUAGGGGUGCUCAAUUCACUUCAAGCUUUUGGAGGACUUUUCAUGAUGAGUUAGGCACUCGUGUUGACCUUAAUACAACUUUUCACCAGCAGAAUGAUGGUCAGUUGGAGCGUACUAUUUAGGUCCUUGAAGAUAUAUUGCUGGUUUGUGUCUUAGAGUUUAGAGGUCAGUAGGACCAGUUCUUGCCUUUGGCGGAGUUUGCGUACAACAACAGCUACCAUUCUAGCAUUUAGAUGAACCCGUUUGAGCUUUUAUAUGGUAGGAGUUGUCGCUCUCCAGUUGGUUAGUUUUAAACUACACAACCUAGACCAUGUGGCACAGACUUGAUUCAGGAGGCUUUGGAGCAGGUGAGGGUGAUUCAGGAUAGACUUCGGGCAGCUCAGAGUAAGCACAUGAGUUAUGCGGAUCGUAGGCGGCCUCCUUAGGGAUUCUAUGUUGGUGAUAGAGUCUUCCUCCGUGUGUUAUCCAUGAAAGGCGUGAUGAGAUUUGGGAGGUGAGGAAAGCUUAGCCCUAUGUAUAUUGGGCCUUUUGAGAUCCUUCGGACUGUUGGAGAAGUUUCCUAUGAGUUAGCUAUGCCUUCGAUGUUCUUAGUUAUCCACCCAGUUUUCCAUGUGUCGAUGCUGCACCGGUAUGUUCACGAAGAGUCUCAUAUGCUUCAGUAUGAUGCAAUACAGUUGGAUGAUCGCUUGAUCUUCGUGGAGGAGCCAGUUGCCAUUCUUGCCAGAGAUGUGUGACACUUGCGCUUGAGAGCAAUUCCUAUGGUUAAGGUCCGUUGGAGGCAUCGUCCAGUUGAGAAGGCUACCUGGGAGACCGAGCAUGAUAUGCGGGAGUAGUUUUUUCUGGCUUUUUUGAGCCUUCAAGUGCUUCUUGACUCUUACGAAGCGGACAAAAGUCUUUUUUUGUAGUGGAUGUUGUAAUGACCUUCAGGUCAUUUCAGUGUUUACGACACAUGUUCGUCGUUUAGAGCAUUCCUGUAGCGAUCCCAAUUCAUUUAUGACUUUCUGGGACUGAUAGUUCGGUCACCUGGUCGUUCGUUUAGUUUUUAUCUGAGUUUUAGUGUUUUGGAGCUUUUGAACCUUGAACGGUCAGUUUUGAUCAAAAUUCAAGAAGAUGACCUCAAAAUCCAAUUAUGACGAUUCUAUCAGCUCUGAAAGGGUCAUUUUAGGUAGGUAGAAUCGUCGGCAUGACUUCCAAAGCUUUCAGUGCGAGUCUGUGCGAUUAGGGGUUUUAACUUUCAAGUUAAGGCCUAAGUUUGACUUUAGUCAACAUUCUGAGUAAACGAGCUCGAAUGAGAAUUUCGUCAUUGCGGUUAGCUCCGAAAUGUUUAAUUUGGUCAGAAGCAGCCCUUCGUUUGGAUCCUGAGGCUUCCGAGCAUAUUCUGAGCCCCCUUGUUGAUUUUGGCUUAAAAUGGAGUUUGGGUGUGGGACCCACUUCUUGCCGAGAUGACCUCGUAUGGGAAUUUGGACUGUUCCGUUGAGUCCAGAAUAUCAAAUUUGGUAGGGUUGCAUAUAUCUUUUGCAUGCACAGGGUUUUGAACGAAUUCAGAGCACCCAAUUGGAGAAUUCGGAGUUUAAGCAAACUAGCUGAAGUGCUGGUAUCUGGUGCAGGCUUUUAGCGACCAGAAAUCAAACUUUUAGCGAUUAUAAUUGAACUUUUAGCGACUAGAUCUCGGCUAUUUAUAUAGCGAAUUUGUAGCCUCAUUUCUUAUUUUCAAAGGGCAAUUUCUCCCUCAUCCGAGAUCCAAUUUGAGUGAUUCAUAGUCAUGUGUGAUCGUUGAGAGCGCGGCUACUUGGGUUUGUGAUUAGAAUCUGAUGAGGAAUCCCAUUGCUUCCUCAUUUCUUGAAUUUUUUCUCCCUAAAAAAACUCUCUAAAAUAUUUUCUCUGAAGGAGACACUACCAUUUCUGCCGGAAUUUUUGUUGAAGAUACCGCAGUUCCGGUGAGGCAAGAGUUUCAAACCCAACAUCAAAAUUAUCAGGAAAGGGAGAUACACCACCCCACCUCUAAAAUCUCAAGUAUGAAUGCAUUCUACAUAUCAAACAAGGGGAUAUGAGACAACUGAAUGAUCAAAAGAGGAAUUCUAAUAGAGAACAAAUUGAGGAAGCUCAAAGCUCCUCGAAUUUUUCCUUUAGAGCAGCUAAACGUGAUCUUGCAGAUGAAGAAGUACCUCGAGGGAGUCAACAUGGUAAGAACACUGAGGGGAACAAUAAAGAACAAGGCUGGAAUCAACGAAAGGAAAAGAAGUUGCCCUCCACCCCCUGUUCAACAAAUGCCCAUCAACGAAGGAAUCAAAGGUAAGUAUUCUAACACUUCUUCAAGUCCUAUGCUUUUAACUCAAUAGGUGUAGUUGAUACGUAAAUGCAAGUCAUUGCAAGUGAGCAAAAUUGUGAACAACUAACUUCAUAUAUGCAGAAUAGUGAUCAAGGGACUAACACUUCUGAUAUACCUCCCUCAAAUAAGCCCAAAAACAAUGAAAAUACCAAGGAUCAUGAUAAUAGUCAUCAGUCUCAAAAACUUCCCACAUCCACCCCUCAUGACCUCAAUAAACUCACUUCCAAUUUUGAGAAACAUACUCCUAACCUUCAGAAUAAACAGCAUGUGCAUCCAGAAAACUCCCACAGAAACACCAAUCAUGUGACUUUGUCCAAUACCUACAAAUGGAUGUUACCAAGGAAAGACCCCCCCCCCUUCCCCAUGUUUGGAUUGGAUUUGAUGAAGAGUACUUUACUAUUGGUAAAUAACAAGCUAUUCAAUAUGAGGGGCUCCCUGAUUAUUGUUCUUAUUGCAAACAUCAAGGUUGUUCCAUGUGUGAAAAUCAAGCCAAGGGAUGAAGACAAAAAGAGGAGAAAGGAAGUUGAAAACAAGAUCCAUCUAAACCUUCUAGUUCCACCAACACCCCGCCCCUCCCCGCGGCAGACCAAACACCAGGUUCUAUAUUCAUCAAAAAAUUUCCAAUGACUAGUACAAUUAUUUGGAAUGCUAGGAGUAUCAAUACCCAAGGUGCAAUGGAAAGAAUCAAAUCUCUCAAAAAGAUCCAUCAUACAUUAAUUAUUUCUCAUUUGGUUGUUUUGGUCUCAGGAUGUGGAUUGUAACAUUAUUGACAAUGAUGAGACCCUCCACGGUCCAUUAAGGUGCUCGUGGUAGGUUUCCAGCCCCAUGCAGGCUUUACUUUGACGGACGCCUAGACAGCCCGUGGUGAGGUUGACGGGCCAUCAAAGUAGGUCGUCAAGUGGGUCAAGUUAGUAAGGGUCCUCCCCUAGCUACUCGUUAAGGGCCACGGGCAUCACAACGGCCCGUGAAGCCCCACAUGGACCGUGAGGUCGUCCGUGAAGGGUUUUUAAUAGAUUUAAAGUUUAGGGUCAACUUCAAACGAUCAAAUCUUUUAAUUAUGUGGCCCAUGACCUAUCAAAUUAAAGGUCUCUGAGUCCUUUUUCCAACGCCACUGAGUUUGCCCAAUUCCCAUCUCGGAGUAAAAAUUUAUUCCCGAAAUAGUGAAGCACUGUCAGGUUGAAUUUCUUCACGACCCGUUUGACGGGCAGUGGUGGUCAUGACAACCCGUGAUGGGCUUCCAGUGAGCCAAUUCGGCAGUUUUUAAGUCAGGGGUUAUUGGGUCUUUUCCCAAUUGUUUUAACUCAAUACUCAGUCAUUUUUUACUUAUACCCAAAGCCCUAUAUAAUGAUUCUAAACCCCCAAAUGACCCAAACUAAAUUAUUCUCUCAAAUUCUCAAAAGAAGAUUAGACUCCUCCCUUCAAAUAUUUCUCCCUCUGGAACUUGAAGAAGAAAGAGUUGUAGCUAGGAUCAAGGUCAAGUCUCCAUUCCUUAAGAAUUUGUGGGCUUUGUUAUCAAGGUAUGAUGGCUUUUUAUUCAUGGAAUACUUUCAUCCAUGGAGUCCCCAAGAUUCGCCAAUUGAAAAGUAGAAAUUCCCCAAUUUGAGUUAGAGUUUUCUUCUAAUGUUGUGGGUCUUGAUCCAAUUGAGUGGAUUAUGAUUGUUUAUGAUUGAAUUGAUAGGAUUACAUGUUUUUAGGAUGAAUUUACAUGUAUCCAUGCCUAACCCAUCUAGAAAAAUGAAAUUGAUGUAAAUGGGUUUUAUGUCAUGAAAGGAGAAUUUGUGGGUUUAGAUGUAUUCUUAUAGGAUUGAUGAGAUACAUAAAGAAUUCUUUGAGAUUGAAGCAUAUAUGAUGAUUUAUGCUUAGAAUUGUCUUAAGAUUUAGGCAUAUAUGAAGCGUAUAAGAUGUAGGGCUUUGAAAGUAAAGCUUCUAUUAUGAAUUGAUGAUUUAGAUGUAAAUGUUGUGGAAGGGAUAGUUCCCAUAUAAAUUGCUUAUGUAUGAAUGUGAAUGGUUUUCUCACAUUGAAUGAUUCUAGGUUGAAAGGCUUGCUCACCUAAAAUGAAUCUAAGAACUUAUGAAUUAUGGUAAUAAGACCUUGGAUUGGUAAUGUGAUACCUUUCCAUGGAUAGCUUGGAUUGGUAAUGUGAUACCUUCCAUGGAUAUCUUGGAUUGGUAAUGUGAUGCCUCCAUGGGUAGCUUGAGUUGGUAAGUAGAUGAUGCCAUCUCAUGGUAGCUUGAGUUGGUAAGUAGAUGAUGUCAUAUCACGGUAGCUUGAGUUGGUAAGUAGACGAUGCCAUUUCAUGGUAGCUUGAAUUGGUAAGGAGGUGAUACCUUUUCAUGGUAGCUUGAUUUGGUAAAGAGAUGACACCUUUCCAUGGUAGCCUGGAUGGUAAUGAUGAUGUGCUCUUCCAUGGACAAUGGCUUAGCUUGGAUCGGCAAGAUGGCGUGCCUUCCAUGGAUAAUGAGAACAACUAAGAAUUGACUACUUCUCACAUCAAGUUAUCAUAGUUAUGAUGAAACAAGGUUCUUCAAGGAAGUAUCACAAGUAUGUUUAAGAUGAGAUUCACUUGUGUUGAUCAUGGUUUAUGACUUAUGUUGUUUAACUCAAGCUUGUGUUGAUGUUUUUACAAGCUACCAUAUUUAGUACAUGUUUGUACUAACGCAUACUCUUGCCUACAUUUCUUAUCCAAAUGUAGGGUUCGACGAUCUCGACUCGCAUCCCCGUGGCUAGGAUCUUAGUAGAGGCAAGACUUGAAGAUUAGUGAGUCCUCAUAGCAUUGAGGAUAUAUCCACCAUUUCCUUAUGAUCUUUCAUUUUAUGUUUUGAACAUUGUUGUAUGGGCAGUGUCCUAAGAUAUUCAUGUUUUAGAUGGUUUUGAGACAAAGUGUAAUAGACUUCUACUUUUGUUAUAAAACUUUGAUGUUGUUGAAAAUGUUUUAAAUUUCCGCUCAUUUCUAUUAUCUUAUAUUAUGAACGCUAAGUAGCUUGUAUGAGGCCUCUCGGGGUCUUGUACGCCUUGUUAUAUCUAGGGGGUACCCCUGGGUCAUGACAAUUACCCUAUCAUAUGAGUAAAAGUUUUGAAUUCAUUGGAGUAAUUGAAGCUUGUGGGCUUAUGGACCUUGGCUCUAAUGGACAAAAAUUCACUUGGUCCAAUCAAAGAGGCAUUAAUUUCAGAAUUUGGAAGAGUCUGGACAAAGCUAUGGUGAAUGACAAAUGGUUGGGGAUCAUGCCCCACACAUCUAUCAAUCUUCUACCCUCUGUAGGAUAUGAUCACUAUCCCGUUCUGAUGGAAAUGAAUGAAAUUCAGCAUAUACCUAUCAGAUACUUUAAGUUCCUUAAUUGCUGGGAUGAUCAUCACUCAUCCCUGGAUAUUGUGAGUGCUGGAAUAGAGAGAUGGAGGGCAAUCCUAUGUGGCUCUUCCACCAAUAAAUAAAAAGACUUUCAGCAACCCCUAGUAACUGUCGUGAAGGAAUUUGGUGAUAUUCAUGCUAAUGUCAAAGAUUAUGAGGAAAAGGUUAAAAUUGCUGAAGAAGAGCAUAUUUCCAAGAACACUGAAUAAUCCAGAACUUCUCUUCAUGCAAUUAAUGCUGAAUAUAUCAGAAUUCUCAAGAUGAAGGAAUCUAUCCUCAAGCAGAAAACUCAAUUACAACGGUUCAAGGAGGAGAUAUGAACGCUGCUUAUUUUCACGCUUUGAUAAGAGGCAGGAGAAGGAAGCUUCACAUCCAUAAGAUUCAAAAUGAUCAAGGUGAUUGGGUUCAGGGUGAGGAAGAUAUUACUAAAGCUGCCAGUGAUUAUUUUCAGAAUAUCUUUACUGGUGAGGAGAAGUUUAUUCAUGAAGAGGCUCUGAAUAGCGUUCCUAGAAUGAGAGAUAACAAUACUCUUCAAGCUAUAUCAACUAUGGAAGAAUUGAAAUGUGUAGUUUUUCCAUGAACCCCAACUCUACAGCUGGUUCUGAUGGUAUGAAUGGGAAGUUUUUCGAUCUUACUGGGAUAUCAUCAACAAAGAUCUGCUGUCAGCAAAAGAGGUAUGGUAUUAUCUCAAGACUGAGUAUGAAGGAGAUGAAAGAAUUCGAGGGAGCAAGUGUUAAAUUUAGUACGUCAGUUUAAGCUGCAAAGGAUGAAGGAAAGUGAGACCAUAAAUGAGUAUUCUGACGGACUUCUUAAUAUAGCAAAUCGAGUCAGAUUGUUGGGUUCCACUUUUAACGAUUCAAGGAUUGUUGAGAAAAUCCUUGUAAUAGUACCUGAAAGAUUUGAGGCUACUGUUACAACCUCAGAAAACACUAAGGACUUGUCCAAAAUUACACUAGCAGAGCUCUUAAGUGUUUUUCAAGCACUAGAGCAACGGCGUGUAAUCUCACAUAAAAGAGUUGUUGAAGGAGCCCUAUUAGUUAAACAUCAAGAUGAUGGAAGAAACAAGAAGAAGCAGAACAAGAAGAUACAAUGACAUAAUAGUGAGAAUUUUGCUAAAAGAAAGAACGCUAACGAUUCUCCUUGUCGGCACUGUGGCAAAAAAGGGCACCCUCCUUUCAAAUGUUGGUGGAGACCUGAUGCAAAAUGCAGCAAGUGCAAUCAACAGGGUCAUGAAGCUGUAAUUUGUAAAGCCAAAAUUCAGCAGCCUAAAGUUGAAGCUCAAGUUGUUGAUCGAGAAGAAGAAGAUCAUCUCUUUGUUGCAACUUGUUUCACAAGCCUAGAUUCAAGUGAAAGUAGGUUAAUUGAUAGUGGUUGCUCUAACCACAUGACUGACAUCUGAUAAGAUGUUGUUCAAAGAGUUGUGGAACACUGAGACAAAGAAAGUUAGAAUUGGAAAGGCCAGGGCGCCAUAGCCAUUACAGUGGCUCUAGAACUAAGUUUAUCCCAAAUGUUUUGUAUGUUCCAGACCUUAAUCGAAACCUUCUCAGUGUUGGUCAAUUAGUGGAGAAUGGAUUCAAUAUGUUCUUUUUAAACAAAACUUGUGUGAUAGAAAGAUCCAUCCGGCGAUGAGAUAUUCAAGGUCAAAAUGGAGGGGAGGUAUUUCCCUCUCAAUCCUUUGGAAGAAGAGCAGACAACUUUUCUUAUGUCAGGCAACUCUACAGAAGUUUGGCAUAAAAGAAUGGGUCAUUUUCAUCGUCAAGGUAUGAUGUUCUUUCAAAGAAAGGAACUUGUGAAUGAUACCAAGAUUGCAGAAUCGGUUGAAAAAUUGCCAAGCUUGUUUACUUGGAAACCUUUCCCAAAACAACUUGGAGAGCAUAAAAAAAGCUUCAACUCAUUCAUACAGACCUAUGUGGACCUCACAAAACACCAUCUUUAAAUGGUAGUCUGUAUUUAUUGAUGAUAUAACAAGACUGACCUGGAUUUUUUCUCUUAAAAUUCAAGUCAGAGGUAGCUGAUGUGUUUUGGAAUUUUAAGACAACAGUAGACAAUUUAUUAGAUCCAAAAGAUCUAGUAGAUGAUCCUCCUGUUAGAGGCAUGCGGUUGAUCUCUAAUAUCUAUCGGAGAUACAAUACUACAAUUUGUGAGCCCGCAAGCUAUGAGGAAGCAGAGGGGAUGACAAAUGGGUGGCAACAAUGAAGGAGGAGAUGAUGAUGAUCGGAAAAAAUCAAAUCUAGGUGCUUGUUGAGAAACCUCUAGACAGAAAGAUCAUUGGUGUAAAAUGGGUCUUCAGGACAAAAAUAAAUGUUAAUGGCUUCAUCAACAAACACAAAGCGAGGAUUCUAGUGAAAGGUUACGCUCAGAUCUUUGGAGUAGACUACUCAGAACUUUCACACCAGUUGCUCGACUUGACACAAUCAGAUUGCUACUAGUCAUUGCAGCGGAAAAAGGUUGGAAAGUUUAUCAACUUGAUGUUAAGUUGGCCUUUCUCAAUGGUCUUCUCCAGGAGGGGAUUUAUGUUGAGCAACCAUAUGGUUUUGUUGUCAAGGGGGAAGAAAAUAAGGUUUGUUUGCUAAAUAAAUCUCUCUAUGGUUAGCAAGCACCAAGAGCUUGGUAUAGCAAGAUUGACGAUCAUUUGCUAAGUUUAGGCUUCAAGAAGAGCCUAUCUGAGUCUACACUUUAUAUUAAGUGUUCAAGUGUAGACAUACUGAUUAUUUCUUUGUAUGUUGAUGAUCGCUUUUUCACAGGAAGUAAGGUUUUCCUAAUUGAGGACUUCAAGUUGGAAAUUAUGAAGGUCUUUGAAAUGACAGACCUUAGACUGAUGGUGUACUUUCUUGGAGUGGAGAUCAAGCAAAAUGAAGACAAUGUGUUCAUUUGCCAGAGAAAAUAUGCUCAAGAAAUCCUAAAGAAGUUUCAUAUGGAAGACUGCAAAGUUACGAGUACUCCAAUGAACCAAAAGGAAAAGUUUUCCAAAGAUGAUGGAACAGAAAAGGUGGAUGAGGCAUAUUAUAGAAGUCUUAUUGGCUGCUCGAUGUAUUUGACUGCAACUAGACCUAAUAUUCUAUAUGCAGUGAGUUUUUGUCUCGGUUCAUGCAUUGUGCAAGUGAUUUACACUUUAGAGAAGCUAAAAGAAUUGUCAGAUACAUCAAGGGAACUAUCAACUAUGGCGAUAAGUUUCACAAAAGUCAGAAGUUUAGACUUAACGGAUUCUCCGAUAGUGAUUGGGGUGGUGCACCUGAUAUGAAGAGUGUGAGAAAUAUAGGAAAAGAAUAUUACUGAAUUAUUGUUGUUUCUACAUUAUUACAUUGAACCAAAAAUAUUAUUGAAUUGUUGUUGUGUCUACAUUAUUACAUUGAGAUCCUAUUUAUAGACACCCUAGAAUACAAUCCUUUACCAAGUAGGAUACUAUUUACUAUUCCUAUUUCUAUUUGUAUUCCUAUUCCUAUUCUAAAUAGAAUUGUAUAAACUUAUUCCUAUUCUAACACUCCUCCUCAAGCUAGUGCAUACAAUUCAUGUACCUAGCUUGUUACAUAUGUAAUUAAUACGAAAGCCAAUGAAGGGCUUUGUGAAAUAUCUGUAAGUUGAUCAGUCGACUUCACAAAAUUGACAGUCAAUCUCAAUGUGCUUGUCUUCUCAUUAAAUACUGGAUUUGAUGCAUAAUGUCAGUCAAUCUCAAUGUACUUAAUCUUCUCAUGAAAUACUGAAUUUGAUGCAUAAUGCCGAUAAAACACAGAGUGAUAAAAUUACAGUGUUGAACUUUCCAAACCAAACUUCCAAAGACUGUUCAGACCAUAAAGUGACUCACAUAAUCGACAUACAAGGCUACUAAACUCCCCCUGAGCAACAAAGUGCUCAAAAUCUAGUAUAAAGUAUAUGGAUCAUGUUGGAAUCAAUAGAUGAGUCGAUAUUAAACAAGUCACCAAAAAAUUGGUCGGAACAUGCUUAUAUGCCGGAGUAUAAGAUUUGAUGGCUAAAAGUGGUCACAAACUAAGAAAUAAAAUUAUAUGGGUAGGGUCAGAAUGAUGUCACGACCCAACUAGAGAAAGGAAUUAUAUAGGAUAGUUCGAAUUGAUGGAACGACCCCAUUGAAAAAGAGAAAUAAUUGGGUAGGGUCGGAAUGAUGACACAACCCUACUGAUUUUUUUUAUACAGGUAGGGUUGGAAUGAUGGCACAACCUUACGCAAAUCAGAUUUGAGGAGUCACCGAAAAGACGAAUGGAACUAUGCAAAUCAAAUCUGAGGAGUCACUAAAAAGACACAUGAUGCUAUGCAACUCAGAUAUGAGAAAAUAGUUCAAAGAAAAUCCACGGUACUAUACAAAUUAAAUAUGAAAAGUAGUCUGGAGAGAUGCACGGUGCUACGCAAAUCAGAUAUGAAAAAAAGGUAGUCACCGAAAGGAUGGCACGGUGCUACACUAAUUAUAUAUAAGAAAGUAGUCACGUGAAAGAUACAUGGUGACCCAACUUUUGCUAACAUAAUCAUUGGCCAGACGGGCAACAUAUAUGGGUGCCAACCGCCGGCAGCGGAAACUCUUUGAUUUUCUACCAAGAUCGUAGAGGCUCUGAUACCAUGUGAGAAAUAUAGGAAAAUAAUAUUAUUGAAUUAUUGUUGUUUCUACAUUAUUACAUUGAACCCUAUUUAUAGACACUAGAAUACAAUCGUUUACCAAGUAAGAUACUAUUUACUAUUCCUAUUUCUAUUUGUAUUCCUAUUCCUAUUCUAAAUAGAAUUGUAUAAACUUAUUCCUAUUCUAUUCCUAUUCUAAUAGGAUUGUAUAAACAUAUUCCUAUUAUAACAAAGAGUACUUCAGGUUUUUGUUUCAUUCUUGAGUCAGGAGCUUUCUCUUGGUAUCCAAGAAUAAAGAUAAAGAUAAAGAUAUUACUACAAUCAACAGUCGAGGCAAAUUAUUGAUGCAACAGCAGCAGCUGUGAAUCAAGCACUAUGCUUGAGAAAAAUUAUGUGUGAUAUGAAUAUGGAGCAAAAAGAAGGGACUGAGGUUUAUAUUGAUAACCAAGCUGCAAUUUCUAUUGCUAAUAAUACAGUUUUUCAUGCAAAAACAAAGCAUUUCAAUAUUUAAUUGUUUUUCUUAAGAGGCGCAGUUUUUCAUGCAAAAACAAAGCAUUUCAAUAUUUAGUUGUUUUUCUUAAGAGGCAUGUAGAAAUAUGGAGAUGUGAAACUUCUUUACUACAAGAGUGAUGAGCAGGUUUCCCCCUUUCCCACUUCAAGACUUCUCAGAUCCAGAUAAAACAACACAAUUAUUAAUAGGGUGGGGUUGAUGGAGCAUUGAGUCAAUACCUUGCUUAUUAUUGGCAUCCUUGCUUUGCUUGUUAUGAAAUACUUUAUGGGCAACACUGGGAAUGAGGACAACAACACUACCAUGGGGUUGAGGGGUGGGAAGCAUUGAGUCAAUACCUUGCUUAUUGUUGGCAUCCUUACUUUGAUUGUCCUGAUAAACUUUAGGGUCAACACUGGGGGUGGGGACUGCAACACUACCAUAGGGUUGAGCGGUGGGGAUCAUUGAGUCAAUACCUUUUUGUUGUUCCUUACUAGUCUAAUUCUGAUGUGGUACUGGUUUAUAAACCUGAUUUUGUUGGUUGUUUUGGUGAUUCCUCUGAUUGUCCUGAGGAUAGCCUAUAAAGUUCUUUUGUGUUUGCCAUUGGUCUUCUUGCAUUAUUUGUUGAUCCUGGUGAGUUCUUGAUGGCUGUUCUUUGGUACCUGAAACACUAAGCAGAAAUAUUAUUUUUAACAGGUUGAGAAUUAAUUGGUAGAGUAGUUACCUGAGUGUCAUUUCAUUGUGUUGUUUUGGUUUUGUUCUUGUUUGCUG
rnacentral:lncRNA from 1 species